rnacentral:lncRNA from 1 species
CCUCCUGAGGCCUCCAUUACUGUCCGCCCCUGAUUCCUUGCAGGCUCAACUAAUUAAUUAACUGGCAAUUAAUAAGUGAUAUAGUUUGUUUCUUAACUUCUACACCGGGCAUUUCAUCUGCAAAGAGGGAGGAUGGAGAAAAUGGUUAACUUUGGGUUCAAAUGUUAUUUGAAUGAUAAAAUGUUUGAUUUCUGUAAUUUUUUUGCAGAAAUUAUGGACUUUGGCUACCCUCAAAAUCUUUCUCCUGAAAUUUUAAAGCUUUACAUUACUCAAGAAGGAGUGCGGUCCCCCUUUUCAUCCAAGGUUUGUUGUAUUUUAUGCAUUACAGAUUAUUUUUGUUGAGGUUUGGUGUAUGUAAGCAAUACUUGUUUUCCAGCUGUAGGUUUUUUUUGUGCUUUAACUUUAAUGUAAAGUUGCAUUCUCUUACCGUUUGAUUUUCCAUGUGUAACAAAUUAAUAGGCUUCAGAUAAGCCUAUCCCAAAUGCAACAUUACAAGUUACAGGAGCUGUUGGCUGGCGAAGAGAGGGACUUGUUUAUAAAAAGAAUGAGGUAAUCUUGCUUCUGAGUUCUGUCAAAUUCCUUUUUCUAUAGGAUGUGGUGGUUCCUAUGGUUUAAAAUCUGUUUGUUUCAGGUGUUUCUAGACAUUGUGGAAAGUGUAAACUUACUUAUGUCUUCAAAAGGUUGGUUAUAGUUUUGAAACUGGUUUUGUUUGUUGGUGUCUGUUUUGCUGAAAAUUAACCAUUUGGUGAUUCCAGGCAGUGUUCUCCGUUGUGAUGUCACUGGCAAGAUUCUUAUGAAGUGCUUCCUCUCUGGAAUGCCUGAUCUGAAAUUGGGCUUGAAUGAUAAAAUUGGGCUUGAGAAAGAAUCACAAAUGAAAUCCCGUCCUGCUAAAAGGUGACUUCUACUUGCAUUAACAUUGCAUCUUAUGCUUCCUUACUUUGUUAAUAUACCAUCUUAUUGUCUUCUUUCUGGUCCAUUUUGCAAUUUUUGUGAUGAAGUUUUGAUCUUUCAUGUGAGCUUAUAUUGCAUUUGCAUGUAAGUUUGUUAAUAAUUUCCAUUUCUAACAAUGCUACAUAUUGCAGUGGCAAGACUAUUGAGCUGGAUGAUGUUACUUUCCAUCAAUGUGUAAAUCUUACAAGAUUCAACUCUGAAAAGACUGUUAGUUUUGUGCCACCAGAUGGUGAAUUUGAAUUAAUGAAGUAAGCUUAGGAGUCUUUUCCUUUAUUUACUUAAUUACUUUGUGGUUUAAGUUCACUUAUAUGGUAUGCAACUUCAGUUGUAGCCAAGUUUUGUUACUUUAUUUUGUGGUUUAUGUUCUAAAGUAUGCAACUUCUGUUAUAGCUAAAUUUUUAUUUUAUAUCUUGCUUCUUAAACUACCAAUCUGCAUUCUGAUUGUGUUGUUAGAAUGCUUCUGUUACCCAUAGGUGCCGUUAGAACCUAGAAACCAGGAGAUAUAUUGUGAAAAUGAAUGACUUAAUGCUUUAUGGUGAUGAACUGUCUCAAGUUUCCAAUGAUUCUACAAUAUAUUAUUUGUUUGUAUAUGCUUGUUCAAUUUUCUUUUGAAUUGAUGAAUGCAUAGGUACCGUAUCACUGAGGGAGUUAAUCUUCCUUUUCGGGUAUUACCAACAAUCAAGGAACUUGGUCGAACACGGAUGGAAGUAAAUGUUAAGGUUUGUAAUCAUACAUUUUGAUAUUGGCUAUACUUGGAAGUUCAUGAUUCUGCUAUUGGCUUAUUUCUUAGAAUAUUUCAGGUUAAAAGUGUCUUUGGAGCAAAAAUGUUUGCUCUUGGAGUUGUUGUCAAAAUUCCUGUCCCUAAACAAACAGCAAAGACAAGUUUCCAAGUAACAUCAGGUCGAGCAAAGUACAAUGCGGCUAUUGAUUGCUUGGUAUGGAAGUAAGUAUUCUAGUUUGUUAACUGGUGCAUGUUUUCCAAAUGCUACAUUAAUAUCAAGAAUCUGGUGGCUGGCUUUUCUUCUCAUCCUAAAGUGGAUGAGUCAAAAGCUUUGUUUGUGUUCCAGCACUAUGCCACUAUCCACAACUCUGAUCUUGGACCCUGCACCCAUCUGGUUGACGAUAAAGCCCAAUGAGUUUAUCCUUUGUAGUCGUAGAUUCACUCUACUUUGGUCUAUCUUUAGAUUAAGUUCAGUAAUUGUUUAAUGUCAUUUUCAUCCGACUUUUUAGGAUAAGAAAAUUCCCCGGACAAACAGAGCCAACCUUGAGUGCAGAAGUUGAGUUAAUUUCCACCAUGGCAGAAAAGAAGUCUUGGACAAAGCCACCAAUUCAGAUGGAAUUUCAGGUGCCUCAAUUAAAUACCAUUUUACUAAUUAAUAUUUUUUAAGUCACUUUUGCUCUGUUUCAUCACAAUAUCUUUUCUUUGAAAAUGUAGAAAAAAUAGGGUAAACUAUGGUAGGGGUCACCCAACUAUUACUAAAUUUCUUUUUUGGUCACCCAACCAUGAAAAGUUACAAAAUAGUCAUCCAACUAUUCAAUUUUGUCUUUUCUGGUCAUCAGCUGGCUAAAGUAAAAAUCGAAACACCCAAAAAUCCAAGGACAAAAUUGAAUAGUUAAGUGACCAUUUUAUAAUUUUUUAUAGUUGGGUGACCAACAAAGAAAAAAAAAACCAUAGUUGGGUGACUACUAAUGUAGUUUACCCAAAGAAAAUAUUACUUAAAAUUAUUGUCCUAGUUUGUUACAAUAGAAAUCAAAUUAUAACGCUUGUUGGUGCUUUGAAUUUCAUCAUAUUCUAGAUGUGCAGAAAAUUGAGAAUUUUGAGGACCGGGGGGGGGGGGGCUUGGAAUAUAGUUGGAUGAUCUAUUCGUAAAGAAUCAAUUUAAGGUUCUAUUUGUUAUUUGUAUUUCACGAAAAUGGCAAAGAAUAUUAGUUUCGGGUAACUUAAGCAAUGGUUUAUUGACACGUUAGCAUGCAUAUAGAAAAGCAAAAUACAUCUGUAAUGUAUUUGAAUUCUUGUCUCAGGUUCCGAUGUUUACAGCCUCUGGUUUACGGGUCCGGUUUCUUAAAGUAAGCAUUCUUAUGUAUUCUGAAUGCAUAUGUGAUUAUUUUUUAUGCAGUCUUUUGAUGUUGAAAUUAUCCUUGUUUUGCAGGUGUGGGAGAAGAGUGGGUAUAACACAGUCGAGUGGGUUCGCUAUAUUACCAAGGCUGGCUCAUAUGAGAUCAGGUGCUAGAAACACAGGAUUCCCCGUUGGCUCGUAUCAGCAAACUUGAAUAGUGAAGAGUGUGUUCGCUUGCUACCGAUUGCAUGUAUUUUGCCGUGAUGGUAAGGUGAAUAAGCCUCAAUUUCCAACUUAAAGCAUGCAGCCAUCCUUUUGCUCUGGUUUCUUGAAUUAUUUGGCAUUUUUUUCCCCUUGUAGUGUUUUUGUUAAUAUGUUUAUUUCAAGUGACUAUUUGGUUUAUGUUGUUUUCUUGUAAAGGCUAACCUUAUUUAGAACAAAAUGUGCCAUUAUAAUACAAUGCUUUAUUGUUUGCAUAUUAGAACACACAUUUUGUUCUAAAUGAUACAUCAUUGUUUUUAAAUGGCAUAUUUGCUAUUGGAAACCUUGUUGGAAUUGGUUUUGACUUUUAAGGUUUAUUAUUAUGAUAUUUGGAAGUCAGGCAAGUAGCCCUCAAGUAUUGUUUCUAAGUGUCAAAGAUGACACAACCAUCACAUCUAUCACACUGAAUUUUUGGUAGGUCGGAUUGGUUUUAGAUUAGGUUAAUUUGGGUUGAGUUAAAUUCGAGUUUUUAGAAUUUUAGGUGAUUUUCUGUUUAGUUCAUGUGGUUUGAAUUAUUAUAGUAAAUAAGAUAAAAAGGCACAGUUAAAAGGAAUAAUCUUUAACAUACCAUUACGAUCCAGCAUAAUGGAGAAAUUUUUUUUUAAAUGAAUCAUUAAAAUAUUCAUAAAAAUAAAAAAUUAGUUUAAUCGUUAGUAAUCGGUUUGCAAGUCAAUUGGUUUGAUUUUUUUUCAGAUUGGUACUUCGGUUGGUUCUCGGUUCGAUUAGCCAACAACUUUGCUUCCAAUUAUUUUCUUGGAGACUCAAACCUGGUGAAGGGGUGUUAAUGAGAUAUUAGUACUCACAAGCUACUCAAAUUUGACUCGAAAAAUUUUGAACUUGAUUUAGUAAUUAUUGAGUUGAGCUUGAGUUAUUGAUUUAGCCGAAUUCGAAUUUAGUAAUACUUGACUCGAACGACUUAUGAGCCUUAUCAAGUUUUUCAUAUUUUUAUACUAUUAAAUUUUGCUAUUUCUGUUAAUAUAUAUUAUUAACUCUAAGCUUAUCGAGUUGAGAUCAAGUUCAAGCUUUAAGUACAAAAAUUGGUAAAUAAAUUUAAUCGAGCUUGAGCUAAGUAUUGAGCUCAAACUUGAGCUAAGUAUUGAGCUCAAACUUGAGCUUGAGCUUGACAGUAUUUAAGCUCGGCUUGGCUUGACCACACCCCUAUCUGGAUGAGUUUUAUGAGGUGAAAAUCCCUUAAUCACCAGAUCAGAAGCUCAAUAAAAAGAAUUAUAAUCCAAAAGAAGUCGUUCUAGUGACAAUAAUUAAAUAUCACUCUAAUUACAUCACAUUAUUCAACAAAAAUACUUUAAAUCUAAUUACAGGGCCACCGAUCUGUUGUUAGUGUGCGUGUAAAUGGCUGUGGCUUGGUUAGGCACUACUAAUUGGGUACGGCUGUUCGUCUGGGUUCGUGCUGUGCAAAAGUAUGUGGUGAAGGGGGUCUUGGUCGAGUGUGGGCGGUGGCCUGCUGGGAUGUUCUCAUUGCUGUGUUUUGGCUUGUUUCCUUCUACUUGGUUUUAAAGACUGAUAAUAUUUAUUAAAACAAAAUGGUCCACACAAUUUUAGCUAUUUUGAGUUAAAACAAGUCUUGUAUUGCAGGCCGAGUAACUCUUUAAUUUUCAUUCAUAUCUGUGUGACUCCAAUAAGGUCUUUGAAUGUGAUUAGUGCUCGGGAGAAAGGUGUCAACAGCACCACCAUUCGAUAACAUACAUAUUGCUUACUAAUUACUGUUCCAUGACAGAUGUAGGUUGUUGAACAGUCCGUUGAUUCUUUAAGUAUUCUCUGUUUUAAUUUAUUAAAUCUCAUCAUUUUAGUUCAUUGGAUAGAAUUAUGAUAACAUUGUUGAUGUGUGAAUCUAACGAGGCAGAAAAGGAGGUGAGGAUGGGUGAUUCACUUAAUUUAGGACAAGGCGAACGUGGUUAUUGGAGGAGGUUGAAGAAGGAUGACGUCUAAGGAGAGAGAAGAGAGAGACUAGUCUCUAAGGACUGUGAAUUAAUACCCUUAGUUGCAGUAUUGAGGUGUCACAUGUUGAGUUCUUAUUAGUGAGUCAGAAGCAAGUGAUCAAAUGGUUUGGCACUAUAGAUUUAAGUAGAAUGAUGAAUGUAUGUGCAAAUCACUUCAAAUGAGACACGAUACUUGGAGUCAGAGAUACAAAUUAAUGAGUAGGGUCCACAUGAAUGUUAAGUCGAAGAGUGUUUUCAAUGGGAUGUCCCAAAGGGACAAAUGGGGACUUUCAUGAGUGCUGUACCAAGGAGUGUUUCCAAAGGAUAAGGGUACAACAAAGAUCAAUUUCAAUAUGCGAUUAAAAUGAGAUUGAUAAUUUUUUUUUUAGGAUCACGAUAUUCUCUCCAAUCAAUGAUUAAGGGUUACUAUCUUUAAUGGCACGUUGCUAGUACGUUAGAAUUAGCUCUAAUAUCAAAUGUUGUGAUUCACUUGUAAGGUAUUAUCCACUUAGACUUUAAGUUGCUCAGAUUUCAUAUUUAAAUAUAUGACUCGUUGUUUGAACUUAAGAAAUAAAAAUUCAGCACAAAAAGAAUCCUAGAAAUGCAGGAAUUCAUUUUACAUGUUACAUAUUAAAUCACGUUUUUGUUUUCGUCUCUACUUUCCUUCUCCUCUUAGUUACAAAAGGCAUUGUCCAAUGAAUCCUCCACACAUUUCAUACCUUUGUCCAUGUCAUGUUGACAUUUUAGCUAAUCUGAACAACAAGAUUUGAACUUGUUCCACCUUACAGUAAACAUUUAUGUCUCAAAACCAAUUGUAACACACUAUCAAUUUUGAAAUUCAUGACCCCUCUCCAAUGACAUUAAGAUUCACUAUAAGAAAUGGAUUAAUCCCACACUUCAAUGCUGAAAUCAAAUUUGGUCUCGUGCCACCAAAUCCAAAUGCACAAUGCAAUCUGUAUACGACAUUUUCAAUUUCCAUCCUUUAGGCAAAGCCAACAAAUUUAAACCUAACAAAGUUCAUAGAAUUGAUACAAUACAUAUAUGAAAGUUCAAAGACUUUUGGGUUAUAAUCCUCAUGCUUAAGUGAAUGAUGAUGUUUAGGUUAAAACCUCAACUUGAAGGUAGGCUAUACAACACAAACUGUUCUCCAUCAACAACAUUGGAGGUCUUUGACCUAUGUUUCAUCAUCCGCUUCAUAUGGUUUUUAAUUGAAAAAUAAAAUUCUUUCGAUAUUUUGGGUGUUUUAAGUUCUAACCCUACUGCUCAUUCUCCACAAGUAGAUUUGUUAAUUUUGAUUCGAAUUCGGAAAUUCGAUAUAAUUAAUCUUAAUGUAAAUUUCGACUCAAUUUGAUUAUAGAAAAAAAUUAAUAACUCAAACACAAAAAUAAUUCAAAACUAAAAUUACUUAAAAUAAGUAACCUAAAAUGAUCUAAACUCGAAAUAAUUAGAUAAAAAAACGGAUUUACAAAUUUAAAUCACUCAAAUUCAAAAUUACCUAAAUUCAAAAUAAAAUAAACUUAAAAUGAUUUUAAAAUCUAAAUUGAGUCAGCACAUAUUAAUUCAACUCAAAAUCAAACAGAACCAUCAAUGCACAUGUCUAAGCACAAUUAUUUCCACGUACUAAAUUCUAACUUCAAGGCCAUUCCACACUAAUCGGUAAUUGAGUGUGACAUUUGGUCUAAACGACGGGUCACAUUCCAAUUCCUUUAUUCGAAUUCAAUGUCAUUCAAAUCUAAUACCUAAAAACCAAUAAAAUACAAGGUACAUAAGUACAAUUCUUUAAUGGUUAAAAUUUGUCAUUAGUCCUUGUAUUUUAACAAAUUUUGAGAUUUAAUCCUCAAAAAGCUAAAAAAUAAAUACUAUUAUUUUUUAUUUAAAAAUCUUGGCCUCAUCAUUAAUAUUAUUAGUAUUUUUUGUCAAAAUUUAUUAUUUUACAUGUUUAUUUUUGUCAAUUAUAUGUCACGUUAUAUGAGGGUAACAUGAUCAACUUACCAAAUUGAUAAAUUUUGAUUGAAAAUACUGACGGUCUUAAUGAUUAAACUAGGUUUUUUUGGUAAAAAUUACAAAUGGGGAAAGAGAAUGACAACUACAGUGUUUGAACCCUGUUUUUGAGAUAGCAAUAGGGGGCCUAAACACUGCUUCGUACUAUCGGUGAUUAGGUUUUUUAAACCGAAAAGUCGAGACUUUUUAAGUAUGGGACUAAAUCGAAAAUUAUCCCAAAGUAUAAGACUUAAUGGCUCAUUUUGAUCUUAUUUAAUCUACCUUUUCCCCUUUGCUUUGCUUGUAAAAAUUCCCUCGUUUGUUCCCUCUCUCUAGCCGUUGCUUGGCCUAUUCAACCGGAACUUGUCAAACACUAAAUCUUUCACUUUCACUCCCAAUUAUCAUAUUUUUAUUUAAACCCCAAAACCCCCAUUUUCACAAUUAUAUAAAUGGUUCAUUUAUCUAGCCAUAACACAAUAUCAAGUCCAUAACAUCAUAUAUGUACCAACUACUUUUGAGAAAAUUUUGAGUUAUUAAUAAUUGAUGAUGGAUUGCUUGGUAUUGCCCGUCUCGUUGUUACGAAAACGCAGCGCAGCGUCUCGACAAGGCUACCGGCCUCUAACGAAGGACAGAUACGAUGAAUCGAAUCGACAAGUGAUGGUGGUGGCAGGUAAAGAAAAGAGGGAGUUUUUAGUAGACUCUUUUGUGUUAGAAGAGAGCCCAUUUAGGGUUUUGAUCGACACAAUGAAAAAAGAUUAUGGUGAAAAAAGAGAGAAGAAUGGGAGGGUAAUUUUGGUGGAUGUGGAUGCUAUAUUGUUUGAACACAUGCUUUGGUUGAUGCAAAAUGAUUGUUCUUCUUUGUUUCAACUUAAUCUUGAGGAGAUUAUUGAUUUCUACUCUCAAGAUAAUUAGAAUUAAAAAAAAGUAUGUUGGUUUUACUAUUUUAGUGUUUUUCUCGAUAAUAUUGAUCGUAAUUGAUUACUUGAUUACGAUAUGAUGCAACUGAAAAUGAAUUCUUGUUUACAAUUUAGGGUACAAAUCAUACUAAUUUCUUUGUUGUUCAAUACAUAUUCCGGCAUAAAUAUUUGUUUUGAACAUAUAUGGUAUUGUGAUUACAUAGUUAAUUAGUGUUCACCAAAUCACAAAGAAGACCUUUAAUUGGUUGGUUAAAAUAUUUUAAGUAGUAAUAAGGGGUAUGAAGGAACUUUGACCCCCUUGGUUACAUGUUUUUAGUCUUCCAUUAAAUGAAAUAAUUAUAUUUUUGGCCCUUAUGAAAAGUUAACAAUUUAAUCUAAGCUUUUUUAACACAAUCUUUUUAACUUUGACCCCUUCAAAAUUUUAUAAUUUUAUCUCAUCUUUCCUAACCAAAAUUUUUGGAUUCACCCUUGUGAAUAAAGAAAACAACAUUUAAAAACUCUUUUUUUGGUGUAACGAAAAAAAUAAACUUUACAUUAACUUAAAGCAAAAGGGAUCUUUUGUGGCACUUCUUCGAGUAAAAUCAGUCCUUCCUUUCUAUCAAAAGUCAUUUUAAUUGGUAACGCAAUCAGCAUCCUUAUUUUUCUCUCUAAAAUUUGGCUCUCGACCUAAUUAAAAUUUGUAUUUAAUUAGAACUUAAUUAAUUUGAUUAUCCGAAAUCAAAAAAUAUCAUUAAAAAAACUUAGUUUGAAUCUUUCAAGCUAAUAAAAUCACAGUUCGGCUUGAUUGAUAUGUAAACUUUGUUUUAUUGUUUGCCGGCAUGUAAAGUUUCUCUGUAUUUUCGGAUUUGGCCAAAGUUUGGUAUUUAUUUUGCAUUUCACAUUGAAUCAGUCAAAUUUACCAAACACAUGCCCCUUUGUUUUUUUUCCCAAUGGUUCAUUGUUUAUAAUUUACCUCUGAGUUGGUGAGCUUUAUACCUAAUAAUACAACUACUUACUUUCUUUCCUCUUUUUUUUUCCAUUUUGAUUGUUUCUUAAGAGUUGAUUUUACAGAUUAAAUCGGAUAAACACUAAUAUGUAUUGUCGGGGAUAAUGUAUAAUGUUAUCUUAUUUUUAGCAUUUGAUAAUAGCUAUUUGUAUGAUAAAAUUAUAUUUCUUCAUUGAUUAUUCGUAUCGUCUUUAAUAAUUAAAUAACGUUCAAUGUAUAGGUGACGAAAAUGAUAUCAUAAGAUUUCAUCACUAAAUCACACGCAUAAUCAUCAUUAAUUAUAAGAAAUGUCACCAAUAAUGAAAUUACAUGACAAAAUAAAUAUCAUCCAUUGUUGUUGAUUGAGUCUUUGUUUGAUUAGCAUAAAUAUUGUUGCCAUUGCAAGAGGACGUGGGUUUGAGUGUGUUAAAGCGCAUUAUCCUUCUAUUUAUGGGUUGAGAAGGGGUUAUAAGUAGUUCCAGACAUUAUGUCAAACGUCUUAUAGUGCCGGUUGUUGAUUUUUAUUUUGAUGACAUGUAGAAAUCUCUGGUUUAGGAAAAAUUCACUUUCAUCUUAGCUUUCAUGAUUUGUUAUAUAAAAAAAGUAGGGGAAAAUCAUCAAAGUUCCUAUACACUCGAGGAAAGAAAUUAAAGAGCAUUGAAUUUGGUAUUGGUUUGUUAUAUAAAUUGUGUGAAUGAAAUAAAAACAAAAGAUUAAAAUUAAUUAAAAUUUAAUUUAGGAAAAAUGAGUUUUUGAAUUUGCAAAUGCAUAUUUCUAAUAUCCAAUAAAUUCAUAAAUUAAAGAAACCAUAGUAAAAUUACUUUCAUGAGUCUUAUCAUAGAAUUAUACAAAUUCGAAACUCUAACCCCCUUUCCCUAAUUUAAAAUUAGUAUGGUUUCUAUUCACGCUUCGCAUUAGGUAAAUUAUUUAUUUUUUGACUAAAUUGUAGAAUAAAAAAUUAAGGGUUAAAAUUUAAAAUUCAAUCUUCAUACUUUUAUUUUCAGGAAUUUAAUCUCUACUUUUUGAAUUUAAAAAUUUAGGUUCAUUUGUUAACACUGUUAAAUUUUAUUAUUAUUAAAUUUAUUGGUCUGGCAUUUUAAAAUUUUUUAAAAAAAAACUCACUUCGUGUUCAUGUAACAAAAAGAAAUUUAACGGACUUGAAUUUAAUAUAGAUAAUUCUUAAAAAGUCACACAAUCAUUUUAAUUAAAAUAAAAUAUUUAGACUAACUAAUGAAGUUAUAAAAGUUGAGGUACCAAAUUAUGUCAAAAUUAAAGUAUAUAGAUUAAAUCUCAAAUUUGAAUGAAAUAUAAAGAUGAAAUUGAAAUUUAACCAUUCUUAUAAUUUAAAAGAUGGAGGGAUUGAAAUUGAAAUUUACUCAUGAUAUAUAGUUGUAUUAAUUUCCACCUUUUUUUGGUGUAUGAAUUUGAGCAAUUGGACUCACAUAAUUCAUUCAAAUCAGACUUUGGAAUAUAUCUAAACCCAAUUAUGUAUCUACCAGCCCAAGUAGAUGCAGGAAACUUGGGGUUAUUUUAGAAUGGCAAUACCCAAAUCGAAUUUUACCCUUAUACAUGUAACCUUAUUAUAAUGAUAAAUUUUUAAAAGUGCAUUAUAUAGAUAUUGAAAGGGUAAAAACAUUUUAUGCUUUAUGUUUUUUUUUUCUUUUAAAGAAGUAUGUUUAAAUUAAGACGGGACGGAGUAGAAAUAGAUUUACUCAACAUUUAUAGAUGUGAUAAUAAUUUUUAAGAUUCAAACGUAGAUGGUGAAAGGGCUGGUGGUUGGGUACUGCAUGCCAAAUGUAGAGUUGUGGUAGUAGUAGAUUCGGCACCAUCUGCUUUCACCCAUUCCAUUACCAUAUCUAGUUCAUUCUUAAUGUUGUUUAUAUUAUUGUUAAAUGUUUUAAACGGUCUCAAAUUUUUAAAAUGUUUUAAUUGAAUCCUCAAGAUAUUAGUGUCAUAUUAAUAAAGUCCUACCAGCUUAACUAUCAAUUUGGAUAUUAGACAAAUGGAAGAAUUAGAUUGAUACGAUUUUACACUCUGAGAACUCAAUCAAAAUAUUUUAAAAUUUAAUAAUCAAUGUAAAUUCCGCAUCAUAAUUUGGAAAUGUUUGAUGAAAUAAACCCUAAAAUAUGAGAAAAAUAUGACACGUUUUUUAACACGAUAAAAAGUUUGCAUUUAUUACAUUAUUAGCACAUAAAUACAUACACGGACAAUAAACAAUAUGUUGACAUCUCAUUAAAAGCUCUUUAAAGAAUACGAAAAAUUAAAAUUUUUGACUCUUAACUAAAAUUUUUAACUAUUAACAUCACAUAACUCAUUACCGAUAUGCAUCGAUAGCGCAUUAAAUAUAAUUCCUUAAUUGCGGUACUUCAUCGCUUUCCCAAUGUAUAUUGUUAACAUCAAAACAACAAACAAACCCCAUGAAUACUACUGUGGGCAUCUUUUUUAUAGUACAGAAAGGAUUAAAAUAGAAUUUAUCUCCCUUAAAACAAACCACAAUGAGAAAAUACUUAGUUUCAGCAAAGUUGAUAAUUGGGGCAAGGCAAGCAUUUUCUUUAUCCAUUUUCCUAUGUAUAUAUAGCUAGGUUUUGUGGAUUCAAAAAGGAGAGAAUAAAUUCAUUGACAAAUUUUAAUUUUAAAAUAUAUAUUAUAUAAUAUUUAAGUUCAACUUGUUACAAUACCUAACCUAAUGAAAAUGAAGUAAUGAUGAUCAUUGUUCAUAAUUAAAUAUAUAUUUUUUAAAAAAAGCUUUAGAGAUAUAUCAUAUAUAUAUUGAAACAAGCAAUACAAAUUUUAAAAUUAUUGUGAGAGAGAAGGAUUUUCAUAAACAAAAUCGAACUCUGAAUCUAUUACCAACUUAAUUAAAAUCACAUGAAAUCUCUUGUUAUUAAAUUGAUAGCUUGUUAACAUAUCUCGUAUUGCUAUUAUUAUAAAAAGCAGUGGUUGAACUAUUGAAAUAGCACGAUUUCACAUCUAAAAAAUAAAAAAAAAUAUACGAGGUUGUGGAGUGUUUGUACUACUAGAAAUAGAGGUAAUCUCUCCAACUUUAAAUCAUCCCAAAAAUUGUCAUUUCCUUCCUAAGACAAUUUUUCUCUUUCUAUUUGUAUUUUUCCACUUGUAUCUUUUGCAGUGAAAUAUAUUUUGUAGUGUCUAAGGAUGUAGGUGUAAUUUACCAAACCUUCUUAAAAUUCUGAUGUUCUUUAUUGUUUUUCUUUCAAUAUUUUGUAGGGUACAUUUGUAUGAUAUAUUGUGCUAUUAAAUUACAUUGGAAGGAAAUUCUAUCUAAAAGGUUGGUUUUAAGCAGGAUUGUUUAUGACCCCUCCAAUCUUUUCUAGGAAUUGAAUCGAGUGUAGCUUUCUAGUACGAUAAUUUACUCUCUUUUACCCUAUUUGCACAACAAUAACUACAAUAAAACAAGAAUGGCCUAGGCUCCCAAAAUUUUAGAAAAUUUUGAAUACCUCUUUUAAAGAUUUUAAAAUUUUAAUUAGACCCUUUUUUCAAAAGUUCUAAAAUUUUAAUUAAACCUUUCAAAAUUUUUGAAAAUUUUCAUUUUAUUCUCUCAAAACUUUUAAUUAAACCCCUCACAAUUUUUGAAAAAUUUAAAUAAACCCUCCAAAACUCAAUGUCAUGUUCCACCAUUGAUGAAAAGGAAAUUCAAUUAUCUUACUAAACUCAAAAAUUUUGAUAAUAAAUAAAAAUAGUUUUAUGAUUUCUUUUCAACAAAAAAAAAGAAAAGAAAAAGAAAAAAAGACCUUGGUGCAGAAACUUAGACUAACCUGGUAAUUUAAUGGUAAAUCUCUUUGUAGAAGAAAAUCCCUAAAUAAGUUUGUAUCUUUUCCCCAAAUUAGAGCAGUUUUAAUGAUUUUUAAGCCAUUGACCAACUGUUGUGAUCCCUUAACCAAAAGCAAAAAUUAUAAUAUUUGAAUAUCGAGACAUGCAAUAGCUUUUUAAUAUAUAUAUAUUUAACACUAUUUUUUAGAACUAAAGAGUGUACAACAUGUCUGCUAAAACAUUCUGACAAAUUUUAAUUAUAAUUUAAGUAAAUAACUUAUAAUUUUUCUUUAGAGAGAUUUACUCCUCAAAGUAAGAAAAAUGUUUAAAAAAUUAUUAUUUAAUAUAUAUAACAUUGUUGGAGGAAAUAAAAUUUAUCACCCAUCCUAUUACGUCUUUGGUUUUUCUUAAGAAUUAGUGAUAAGAUUCAUUAAAUUUUUAAAAGGAGAAUGCGAAUUCGAUUUUUAAAGAUAAAAUUAUAAAUUUCAAGGAUAUCUGUAAGGGAAUUGUCUUCAUGUUAGUAAGACCAAAGACAACAUUAAUAUAACACAAUUUUGUGUUGUUUCUGGUGGUUGUUGUAAGUGUUUUCUCUGGUGUGCAUGAACCCUUAGUGUUUUAUAUAUAUAUAGAUAAAGAUUGAUUAUUGAUAGAGGAAAUUACAGAAGGGAGCUAAAAAUCAAGAAAAGGGUAAAGCUUUGAAACAAUAUAUGAAUGCAAAAAAAUCAUGUUGGGUCAAGCAAGAAACAAGAAGAAUCGUCAGUGAUGAAACCCUUGUUUCAAUGUUUCUUACCUAUAUUUUUAUUACUGUUUUCUUAUAUAUAUAUAUAUAUAUAUUCUCUCCUGAAAACAAUGCAAAAAAGAAAUUACACUAUCCCAUGUUGCCAUAUCCUACAAGAUUUUUUUACUUUGGAACCCCUUUUUUCUAUGUUUCAAGUACUAAGUUUCAUGUCCUUUGUUAUGUCUCUUAAGCCUAUAUUUGUGUAUAUAUAAAUGAAAUUAAAGAAAAGGGGAAACCCUAAUUUGAUAUAUGUUAGUAACACAUUGUUAUCCAUACAUCAUAAUAUCAAACCACUUUUUUGUUCUUAUAGAAAGAAAGUUAAUUGUUCCAUAUCAUCAACAAGAAAGAAACUAUUUUCCUUAAAUCAUAGAUUCCAAAAAUCCCCCAAAAAGAAAACCUAAAAAUACCCUAAAAUUAACAUUCAACAUAAGAUGAACAUAAACUAGUUCCCAUGAAAUUUUGCUGACCUUUUUGUGAUCCACCAUAAAUGACAAGCUCUCAAAAUGGAGGUCUAUUACCACUGGAAUUUCCAGGCCAUCCUUCAACUGGUAAUUGAACAUUAGGAGGCAUAUUAAGUGGCAAAUUAAAGAAAGGUAACCCACCUUGUUGUGUAGUAGCACCUGGAUCAGCAAACAUGUUAUUUCCAUUUCCACCGCCGUUUGCACCGCCGUUUCCACCACCGUCAUCUUCUUCUAAAGGUAAUCUCUCAUAAGCUACAUUUGUGAAGGAUGAAGCUAUGACAAUAACAGGUCCAGCUGCCAUAAGUUCACCAACUACGUUUCCACCUACAACUUGUCCUUGACCACCGGCUAAAAAGAUGGUUAAACUGGUGGCACCGGGUGGAGCUGGCGGUGGUAGAAACGAACCGGAAAGUGAUAAAAUCUCGAAUCUACCAUGAAGGGUAACCACAGAACCAGUUGCUGAUGGUUGUCUAAUGGUGACGUUGGUGACCGUACCACUGCCGGAUAAUAUACAGAUACCCCUUUGUCGUCUCCGAGCAUAGUUGGCUAUACAAUCGAAUACAUCACAGCCGUUGCCAAUUUCAAGAAUGUGAGCUCUAAGGGUGUUUGCACUUUCUCUGGUGAUAAUAACUGGUGGUUUAGGCUUGUUUUUGGAACCAGGUGGACGACCCCUUGGUCUACGAGCAACAAGGUCAUCAUGACCUGUGUUCAUCAAGUCAUCGGCUGAUCCACCGCCGCUUCCGCCACCGGUAAGGUGGUCUUCAUGUUCAGAUUGGUGUUGAAGAUGAAGGUCAGGUCUAUGAAGUUGAUGAUGAACAUAGCCUAAAUCAAGACCAGCCAUGUUAAUAACUUAGUAGUGUAUAUAUAUAUAAUAUGUAAGUUAAUUUAGAUUAAAAACUGUUCAACAAAGGAGAUUUGUUUAAAUUUAUAUAUAUAUAAAAAAAAACUGGACUAAAAAAAGAAAGGGAAAGGCUACGAAGAGAAAGGGUUUUUGAUUUUAAAAGAGAAAAAGAAAAGAAAAUUGAAAACAACGAAGAAUUGAGUGAAGGCAAAGGAAAGGGGGGUGAAAUGGAAGAAGGGAGGUGAAGGAGGAGACAAAACAAAGUUUAUAUAUAUAAUAAAAAACGCAGUCAUUUCUAAUAUACUAUGAAUUGGUUGAGAUUAUUUUUUAUUUUUAUUUUCUUUUUUUGAGAUGCAAAGUUGGUGGAUGCCAACACUACUCUCAUUUUUAUGAGCGUGGGUUUUAAAAUAGUAAGAUUAUAUUAUUUUAUUGAUGGGUAAAUUACAUUCGCUAGUCCCUUAAUUAUUAAUGAAUUUCUAUUUUACUUACCCAAUUAUAUGAAAAGUUACAAAAUGGUCAUUUAAUUGUUUGAUUUUUUUCUUUUUUGGUCACUAGCAAGAAGAUAACUCGGUAACUUUUAAAAUUGGUAUAAUAGUAACUUUACCCCUCAAUAUUUAUACAUUUGUGUUAAUUUAGUGUUGAUUCUAAAAAAAAUUACCCUCAACAUUUACACAUUGUGUAAUUUGAACUUUUUUUUAUUUAAUUUUUCUUUGUAACAUUGAGGGUGGAUUUAAAAAGAAAAAGAAAAAAAAUUAAAUUUAUUGUCUUGGAUUUUUUGAUGUUUCUUAUACUUUCAGUCAAAUUUGGCUGAUAAAUUUAUUUAUUUUUUUAGCUUUUUAGAUUAAAGUGUCACAAAAAAAAUAUAAAAAAAUGAAUAAAUUAUACAAUAUAUAAAUAUAUUAAAAUUUUUAAAUUAAGUCAACACAAUGUAUAAAUAUUAAGGACAUUGAUUUAUUUUAAAUAUAUAACGUUAUAUAUUUGGAUUCACCAUAAUAAGAAAUUAAUACAAUUGGCUCUAGAUAAAGAAUUCAAGAGCAUGGGGAAUAUUUGUGAAAAGAUAUGAAUUAAGAAAGCUUUUGGUUUGUUAGUUGUUCCAACCAGUUUUUCUUAUUAAUGUUACAAACAUAAGUUGGAACAUAUUAGUAUAUUUAACAAAUUCAAAAACAAAAUAAUGUAAGGAGAAAAAUCAAUACACGAUCUUUGUUAAUGCAGCUUGAAUUCGUCUAUCUUACUCUGUGGAACCUUGUUUAGUGAAUGAUUUUAUUCAAUAAUGAAUCUAAAACUCUAUUGGCUAAAGCCGAAUCUACUCUUAUCCCAAAUAAUCUUACUUAUAAUAAGAUUUACUCUCCAAAUACAACGCAAAGUUAAGCAAAUAAUCAGUCAAAAAGCACUCAACAAGCACACCCAACAUAUGCAGCAAUGCAACCUCUAUAUAGGUUGAGAUCAAUACCUUCUCCAAGUAAUUGAGGAGAUAAAUUAGCAUUAAAAAUAAAAGAAUUAUUCGCACAAAAUAUCCUCCUUAAAUUUCGAAAUAUAUCCUUCACAUUUAAACAAAUUCAAUUCACACCAAAUAAGGCCAAAUCAAAGUCUUUUAAAAGAAGGAUAAGAUUUGCAUUCAAUCAACCUUUCCCAUUUGACAACAAAUCCUCCAACAAUACUAAAAUUAAUCCAAACAAAAACUAGAGUUCAUUUGCUGAUACAAAAUGAACCAAAAUAAUCCAAGUAAAAAAAGUCAACAAAACAAGUAUUGUUCGAACAAUGACAUCCUAAACCGUUAAAGUCCCAACAUCAAUGAAUACCUAUGUAAUUAAUGAAGAAAUUUAAUGGAUUAAAUCAAAAAUAUAGUGGCAAAACAAUUGUGUUUAAAUUCUCAAUCGACAUCCAUCUUAGAUUUACCCAUGGAUAAUUUGUAUCUCUACCCUUGUAUCGAAAUUUCUCUUCAAAACUAAUUACUAUAAAUGUUGUAUUGAAUUGUCGGUUCAACUCAAAUUAAUUAAUUAACUAAUCAGAACAAAUUUAGAAGAGAAUCCUCCUAUAGUACUUAAACUUAACAUCUCAGUUUUCGAAGCUUCAAUUUUGGAAAAAAAAAAAGUUUCAAGAAUGGAUGGAAGGUGGAAUGCACGCGGCAGAAAGGGUGUGUGAUCUUUUUAUUAGAAAAGAAAACAAUUGAGCAAAUGAACCCUAGAAGUAGAGGAGAAGAAGAUGCAUUUGGAUUUGAAUUGUGUGGAUGGGGUUUAGAUGACGGGAUGUUUUAACCUUCGGUCUUUGCUCAUUGGAGCUUGUUCUCAACUACGGUUACCACCCUUCACACAUAGUUGACCAAGUUUUUGGUUUAUCAACAAAUACAUUGAAAAAGAAAAAACAAUGGGGAGGCAAGUGGGCAAAAGAGCAGCGGCGCGUGGGUCCCACUCUUGUCGUAUCCGCCACCACCCUUCAUGGCCCUCCGCCCCUCCUUUUAGCCGUCACCGCCCCUUGUUUUAUUUUGCUUGACUUUGGAUUUUUUAUAUAUAUCAUAGUUUUAUAACCAUGCAUUUCCUUGUAAAAUUACUUACUUAUAUGGGUUAUAUAGCAUAUUUAAUGAAGUGCUAUAAAAGGAAAUAUGGGUUAUGUUCCUUUUUUAGAUAUUCAUAAUAUAUGAUUUUUUUAAUAAUUAAAAUAGUUUUUUUUCUAGAAACUUUUGGUAUACUUUAUAUAUAUUUAGAAGGUGUUGAAAAUUUGAUCUCUAUUCAAUAUGAGGACAAGAGUUGAGGAGUUGGGUUUCAAUAUUUUUAAGGAUAAUAAUUUGUUAAGAAUAUUUAAUCUUCCAUUUGAAGCUAUUUUAAAUGGAAUUUAUACAUGAAACGAUAAAAUAAAAUAAAAUAGAUUGACCCCCCUUUAAUAUAUAACUAGUUGAUUGAGAUUAAAUAUAUAGUAAUUGGUGUUUUAAAAACAUAUUCUUCUUCUUGAAAAUGAAAGCCUAACCAAUUGUUUGUAAUUAUUUUCUUUUUUCUUAAGAUAUCAAUAACAUUAUAAAACUAAAUUAAAUAAUUAACUUAAACCAAGGGUUCAACUUCAUGUAUCAACUAAUAAUUGGACUAAUUUUUUUAAUUUUUAUAGAACAGAAAGGUGAAAUUUAUGCAUUAUUCAUUGCUUUGAUUCAAACAUAUUUAGGGUCCUUUUGAGUGGGCAUUUACUGUUAGUAUAGCACGUUUAGCUUUCUUUUUGUCUCAUAUUACAGUAAUUAAUCUUAUCGUCACGGUUAUUUUUACAUUAACCACAAAUAAUUGUAACACCCGUCUAAAAGUAGCCUUAGAAAAUAAAAUGAUUUCAACUUCAAUUGUCAUCAUAUGUGUCCAAAGUAAAGCAAAGAAGUCAUCGAUUUUAUUUAUUUAUAAAUUUCAAAUUUGCUGUUGGCCUUGAAGAGGGCAAAUCUAUAAAGCAAAGAAGUCGGCAUUUGCAAGCGUGUAAAGGUUAAACUUCAAAGCAUAAAAAAAUGCAAAAUUACAUAAAUAAUUAUUUGAUUGUAAAAUUUGUAAUUUUAUAAGCAAAAUUAAAAUAUUAUUACACAUUUGUAGUUGAUAUUUAAGAAUCAAUAAACAAGAUUAUAAUAUUUUUUUAACUCGUUUGUGAAGAUGAAAAAACUCGUUUAAUUAAAAUAAUAAUCUAUAAAUAAAUAAUUUAAAAAGAGGGAUUUUUAUUUUCUUGCAUGAGUUAUUAAUUAAAUUUGGCUAGACAACACUUACCUAACUCCAAUAUGUAAGUCAAUCAAGGAUAGAAAGUAAAUGAAAGAAAUUAUAAUCUAAAAUCAAACAAAAGUUUUCACAAUUCAACCACUCAAGACUACUUGGGUUUGGAUUAACAUUAUUAGUGAUAUGAUCUUUUUGUUCUUUAUUUAAGAAAAAAUUUACAUACCAAAUUAUAAAAAUUUUAAUAUUGAAAUACUUCAAUGUUUCUCUUUUUUUUUUUUAUUCAUUAAAUCGAUAAAGCAUGUAAAAAAGGAACAAAGAGCACGAACUAAACCCAAGCCAGCAAGUUUACUCAAUGUAUAUCCUUUCCUAAGUCCCCUCAUUUUCACCCUAUUGAAACAACUCAUCAACUUUAACAAUAUCAAUGAUAAAAGUAGGUGAAGAAAAACAUUAGACAAGCGACAAUUUCUUUAAUUCCUCUUACGGAGUUAAAAUUUAAUUAUCAAUGUAUUAAAUAAUCACCCUUAUAAAAAGGGAUUAUUAUUAGAUGCAGAGGGCCAGGAGAGGAUAAAAUUUCCACAAGUAAAUUUAUAAUGGUGACAAGUGUUUCAUUCUUUUAGUUUUUAAAUUUUAAAAUUUAUUUAAAAUACACUUGUUAUCAUUUUAAGAGUGCCAAUGGAUUUUUUAUCCUUUCAGCACCAAAUAAUUAUCCUAUAAUAAAUCCCUUUUAGAUUUUUUUUUAAGAUGUAAAAUUUAUUUACUUGAUUCAUUUUCAUUAUAUUUAUUUACAAAAUAAUGGAAAUAUAAUCAAUUUAAAAAUAUAUUAAAAUACUAUAAGAUUAAAUUCAAAGCAUAUUAUAUUUGAUGUAAAAUAAAGGAUUUUAAACUUAUAUUUAUUUCAAUUUUAUAUUAAAUUUGAGAUGCCUUCAUAAAAUUAUUUUUAUUUAAAAUAAAUUAAUUACCAUGAUUUAGAAUGUUUAAUGAAAAUUAAUUUAGAAAGAAAAGAAAUAAAUUUGUUAUACUAGUAUAAUAAAAUAAAAAAUAUAAUAACCCAACUCGAGAUCUGACUCAAAAUACCCAUGAUUCAAGUAAUCCUAGACACUCCAUUUGAGGGGCUUCCACUCUGUUUUUUGAAGGAGAACACCAUCCUCUCCGAUCUUGACCUUUAUCCAUACCAUAUAUCAACAAAAUUAUGAAAUAAAAACUAAAUUCAAUAUAUAAUAGAACUAAAAUCAAGUUAAAAUCGAAUUAAAAUAUUUAAGAGGUAGUUGCAUAAAAAGAAAUAAAAGAGACUACAAAAAGAAAAUAUUCAUUUCAUCCAAAAAAAAAUCAUAUGUGAUUAUUAAAUAUUCAACCAUAAAUUCUAGUUAUAAGGUGGGGGAGCAUGAAAAUAGUAGAUAGAUUGUGCAAUUUAAGGUAUAUAUCCGUACAUUAUGCUCAUCAUCAAAAGUUAAAAAAUUAUAUAAACAAAUAUAAAUUUAUUGUAGUUCAUACAAUUUAAUUUUUUUUGAAUAUUUUAUUAAGUUUGCAGCAAAUUUAUACAUGAAAAACAAUCAUUGUUGGAUUUCAUAGGUCUUCAAAAGUUGUAUAAUAAAAUCACUUCUUAAAUUAAUAUAUAUAUACAAUAAAGCAUAUAUAUUUAUCCUUUCGAAACAUACUUUGUUCUAAUGAAUUGAUUGUUUAUUGAAAAAAAAAAUUAAUCCAUUAAUUAAUUAGUUAACUUAGUAUUAUAAAAAUUUUAUAUGACUUAUCUAACUUUAAAAAAUAAAUAAAAUAUAGAUAUAAUGUGAAGAGCCCUAAUAAUUAAGGCGCGUUAAGAGCACAUUAUGAUUAAUGGUGAGUAAAAGGUUAAUCAAAGUUUCUUGCUUAUCACAAUUGCCCCUUUUGGACUUCAAAAUGACUUAAAAGAUUUUGGCACACGAAUCUCUAAUGUCAAAUCCAAUUCUUGGAUCCACGUAACCUCAACGCAGAGUAUUGUCUACUAUUUUUAUAUUGUUAAUUAAGUAUUCCCGUGGUUGAAUCGUUGCUCGAAGUUUAUUAGUCGAUUUUAAAAAAUAAACUUAUCAGUUUAAUUAUUUGAAUAAAAAAUUUUUAAAUAGUUUAACAAUCAUUUUAUAAUAUUUUGAAGUUGAAUGACCAAAACAUAAACUUAAAUACUAAGAUGAGAAAACAAAUAUAGUUUAAGCACUAUUUUUCAUUUAAGCAUUCAAGAAAUUAAAGAUAAUAUACUCACUCUGCACUCAGUGGUGUGUAAGCAUGUGACAGUAAUUUGUUCUUAUCAGUAGUGUGUAAGUUGUAUAAAAAAAUAUCACGCGGGAUGUAAUGAUUUAAAAUAAUUUAUGUUAACGAAAUAUAGUUUAUAUAUCCAAUUCCGAUCCAAAAAUUUAAAUACCAAAAUUAAAAAAAAUUAUAAUUUAAAUAUCAAUUUAUCGUUUAAGCAUUAAAAAGAAUAUAACAUACUCUUUCAAAUGUUCUUGAAAUGACAAUUAUACACAUAUUUUAAGCACACUUGCAUGUAUAUAUACCCAAAUUAACGGUGGGGAAGCUUUCUAAUUGUGUAUAAUAAUUUAUAUAUGUUACUUUAGUAUACCUAAUCCAACGUAAGGGCGUGUUAGUUUAAUGGGAUUUGCGUUAUCGAAUUCUAUUUGAUUAAUAUUUAAUUAAAGGGGUGCCUAAGAACACCAAAAUUGACCAUAAAUCAAAAUAUUCAAAAGGUAUGGUUCUAAAGUAGGUGAAUUUGUGGUGGGGGUUUUGCCGAUUUGACAAGUUAAUUUGACUUGUUAUGAACAUUUGUUUGUAUCUAAGGCUAAUCAACUUAACCCAAUGGCUAAACAAUGUUUUAGUGUGGAAAUUUCAUUGUUAUUUUCUUUUCUUCUCCCUUUCUUCUCCUUAUCUUUCAAGUGGAAGAUGGUGUCAUUUUGUUGAAGAUUGUUUAUCUUCAGAUAAUACCUUCAAUUGUUGGGAGAUCAGUUGACUGUUUGAUAGAUGAUAUUUUAAAAUUUUCUCUUAAAAGAGUUGACCCUCCUCAAUAAUAAAAGGCGCUUUUUAUGACCCUUCAAUUGUGAUGGGGCGGCUAUUGAUUGCCCUGCCUUAAAUUGCCCGCAUUGUUGGUUUAUUAUGUCACAUCGUCGCUUUUAUAAAUAAAUGCGAGGUAACCCUAUCGCCAACAAGAUGCUUACAUGUGGCAUCCCAUGUCUCAUACGUAAGCUCUCUCACCUAAAUAAUGGCAUCCCAUGUCUCAUACGUAAGCUCUCUCACCUAAAUAAUGGAAGCAUAUGCAUAACCAAAGGUGAAGCCAAAAAAAUUUCUAAGGGGCCAAAGAUUGAGUUAUACAUUUUUGUGAGAGUCAAAAUGCAUUUUAACCAUUGUAUUGACAUAUAUCUUUGUAGUUUUUAGGAGGACUAAAUCAAUAUUUUAUCAAUUUUGGGGGCUAAAUUAUAAUUUUACCAUUUAUUUACUUAAAGUUUUAUAAAACUUCAAGGGCUAAAAACAUAGACGAAUUCAGAGAGGUAGGCAAUGGCCCGGCCCUCUAAAUUUUGUAAAAUUUCUUUUAGGCCCUUUCAGUUUUGAAUUUUUUUUAUUUUAAUGUUAUAUUAGUGUUUAAAAAAAGACAAAUUUAUGUUGGCCCCCAAAGUUUUCAAUUUUUUUUUAAAUUUUAUUUCUUUUAUAGGAUUUAUAAUUUUUAAUGACAAAUCUAGUAUCAUUUUUAGUUUAAUUUGGUAAAUUAUUACAAAGUAAUAUUUAAAUUUUGGUAAAAAUAAAGUUUAAUAAUUACAAUAUCUAAGUAUAAAUAGUAUCUAAAUAUUAAUUAGGUAAAAUAUAAACUUAGAUAAUUAGAAUUUCUAAUAUAAAUUGAGCAUAUAACUUAUUUUAUUUUUUCUAUAUAUUGGUCAGACCUAUUUUCAAUAUGUAUAAUUUUAUAUAAAUAUUCGAUCCCUUAUCAACAAUUCUGGCUUCACCCCUCCCACCCCGCCCUUGUGCACAGCAUUUACUCUCUUCUCAUAAUCUCAUCCUCUCUUCACAACGAUUCUCUUCUCAUCCUCUACUCACAACGGCUCUCUACCCUUUAAAGAUGAACUGUCUUUCAAGUUUCACCUUCGUCAGCUCCUUCCUCUGUUGAUUCCUAUUAUCAACAAAAACUAACAAUUAUAAUAAAUAAUUUUAUCGUCCCUACUAUUUUUAAUUCCAUCAAAAUUAAUUUGAACAUGAAUCCAAGAACACCGUCAAAACUAUAAGCACCUAGUAUUGAAUUUCAUCAUUAUCUUUCUUCAAAUUGGUUUGAACCGUGUGUAUAUAUACACAUAAUUUGAUUAAUUAAGUUUUAAAAAAAUCGUACAAGGAAUUGAAAACAGUGAUACGAGGUUGUGAACUGGAGAUUUUAAAGUACUGUACUGCAACUCAGAAUAUAUAGUCCAGAGAAAAUGAAAGCUAUGUUGAAUACUGUUCACAUUGAUAAAUUAUAAAUAUUUGUCGAAUCCUAAUUUCAAAUAAUCUUAUUAUUGAUGUUAUGUCUUGUCUCCUAUCACUAAUACUUUUAAAUUUUUCAUUAUUUGAGAAUUUUUUUUUAAAAACCAUAUUCAUUGACUAAUGAAACUUUUCAACAAUUUUCUUGAUUAAGACAUGACAUUAAUAAUUACAAAAUUUGUUGUUUUUUCAAUGUGAAAUUAAUGUAUUUUUAUGUUGUUUUAUGAUCUAUAAAUAUUUAAAAUUUUUAGAAUUUAUUUUAAAUUUUAUAAUUUUUAUGAGGGUUAAAAUGUAAAAAUUUUAUCGUAAGUUUAAAAUUUUAUAAUUUAAAAAAAUUAAAUUACAAUUUUAUCAUUUUAGGAGGGUUAAAGUGCAAUAAGAUCAUGUAUUAAUUUAUAAUUUUGUGGAUCUUAGAGGAGCUAAAAUACAAAUGUUCUUGUAAAAAUACCAUAGAAGCUGGUGCACUAGAAGUUAGAUUACAUUUUAGCACUUCUACUCAAAUAAUGAGCAAAUUAGUCUAUAUAUGUUACACCGAAGAGUAAAUUGAUCAUUCUGUUAAAAGUUUCAUCGACUUCUACUAUUCAAAAUUAGUCCUUUAUGUCAGCAUGAGAUACACGUGACACGCCACAUGUAAUUAUCUAGUUAUUCUGUCAGUCUCGUUAAUUAUUAAUAAUAAAAAUGAGUAAAAAAAAAUUAAAAAAUUUUAAUUUAUUUUUUAAUCUAACGUGUAAAUACCAAUUUACUUAUUUUUAAAUAAAAUUAACAAAAUAUUUACUAAUAAAAUACCUCCCACACUAUACUUAAAAAUAUAGCUUUAUCUUAUUUCUAACACUUCAAUAAAUUAAUCUCUUCAAAUACUAGUAAAACCUUCAAAAUUUUGUCACAUUCUUGCAACUCAUAAAUUUAAAUUAAAUUAAACUUAGAUGGACAUGGUAAUUUCAGUGAUGAAGUGAGAGAAGAUUUGAUUUGAUGGACAGAUUGAGGGAAUACUGAGAGAGAGAGAAGGGGGGGUGGAUACAUAGAGAUUGCAAAUGGCAGUGCCCAGGGCCAGGGGCAUAUGAAUUUGUGAAAAAGAGUGAACAAGAACCAAGAAGCUAAGGAAAGGUGAAAGCCUGGUUAAAAGGGAGGUGUGAUGGAAGAAGAGAGAUCACGUGCGGUCACUGAGGGUGGUGAAGGUCACCGUAUAGGUGUCUCUUUCAUCGGGAAUUGCUCUUUCUUUCUUUUCUUCUCCUUGAAUUCCGGGGAAGACUGAGAGAAAAAGUGAAAACCAAACCCAAUAUCCCUGCACUUCACUGCACUGCAAUUUACCUGCCCCCACCAUUACAUCACCCCUACCCAUUCUAACUUUCACCUCUCUAAACCUUAUCUUAACCUAUGUUAACUCCAUUUCAAACUUAAAACAAAAAUGAUUUCAACAAAUAGCACGAUUUGAACUCCAAGUAAUUUGACUUGUAAUAACACAACCUAAGAAUCAAAUGAUUAAAAUCCUAAAAUAUGAAAAUACCGAAAAGAAUAUUCACUCUAACAUUUCAUCUCAUCAGGAGUUAUUUUACCUCCAAAUUCACCCUAAAUUGAAAACUAAUUUUAUUUGUCCAUUUGACAUGUCUAUAAAUUAAAUUUUGGAUUUUUUUUUUAAUUUUAGAUCAGUGAAUUUAAUACCAACUUUCAUGUAAGCCACAAUCUAAUGGAUUUUUUUUUUAUUUUGGCAUGUUGUUGGUUGCGGGUUUUUUACAAUAUUUUUUAUUUUUAUUUUAGUCUAUAGUAUCAUAAUUUUUGUUUUGUUCAUUUUAUUUUUUUUCUAAAAAUAAUAGUGUUUUUUAUUUUUUAUUUCUAGUCAUGUUUUUUUUGCAUAUAUUUGAUUUAUCAAGGUAUGAAUGUUGUCAAAUUUAUUGAGAACUCUUCUCGAAGUGCCUUAUUAUAAUAAAGCACAAAUGAUAUUGCUUGUAAAAUUGGAAUCCAAUAUGAGGAUGAUAAGCCAUUUAAAAUUUGACAUUUUAUGCAUCAUUGAUGUAGUGGUUAUCUUGGCAAUAAUUUCUUGGUUGUCCAGAGUUCUUUAUAGGUAAGACUGAUGAUAGUCGAAUUAGGAUGUAAUUUUCAACAGUUUUGUCAAUAUGAUGCUUCUCUGGUUGUUUUUGAAUUUUUCUAAUGUUGUGGUUACUAUCUGUUUAUCUUUCUCUUUUGAGGGAUUAUUCUACAAAUAUGACAUUUGUGUAUCAAUUUUAUGUCGAGCCUCCAUAUUUAAAAUUCAUAAAUAUCCAUCUUAAUAAUAUUAUCUUUAAAAUUUAAAUAUAUUUUUACCGUGAGCCUAUAAGUAAAUUUGGAAGACUAGCCUUGAUUUGAACUAAUUACCAUUGUACUUUUUGUACACAAACGAAGGCCAAAACCCUCUAAAGCAAACAAAUAUGGGGAGAGAGGAUUCUAUUGACAUGUGAUGGAGACAUUGAAGGAUUUGGAAAGCAGAAUUGGUGGAUUUUUCAAGGACAGAUCCACUAAUCUAAUCUCAUCAAUACCCCCCACAAACAAGGUCGAGACUUUUUUGGCUUUUUCUUCUUCCUCUUUCUCAAUACAAAAGCAAAAAUGUGGGUAAAUUACUAUUGGCUAUAGCCUAUAUGCUCUCUCAAAUAUACAAAAUGGACAUCUCCCCCAUUAUUACGCCCGUGAGAGAUGCCGCCAGCUACUCUUCCAUUGCAUGCGGCUUUCCUAUCAUUCUUGCUUGUCUCUUGGUAUGCUUGUUUCAUCGCCCAAUUCAUAAUUUCGAUAUUGGAUUACAUCUAUUUAAUGAGCUUAUUAUAGUGAAAUAUCGUGUGAUUGUUUUAAAUCAAUGAUAGAAAUAAAAAAUGAAAAAAAUACUUAUUUAUGUUUAUGUCAUGUAGGAUUUGCAUUAAAAAUUUUAAAUUUACCUUUUAACUAAUUUAACCAGUUUCAGUACUAAAAAAAAAGGAGAUAUGCUUAUUUCGAGAGAAAACAAAUGUAUUUGAUAACUGAUUUAAUAGAUUCUAGGUUACCAGCACAAUUUUCUAGUUUCUGAUGUAGCUUAAUCAAAUGUUUACAAUCUCUUCAUUUCUAUUUUUUAACCACAUUUGUUGAUUUAAAAUGAAUCUCAUAGGAUCCUAUUGUAAUAUGCUCUCACAUAAGACGUUACUGUUACGUUGGAUUAUGAUAUUCUUAAAUAAAAAAUGUAACGUUUUUAAUACUAUUUUCUCCAUUCACAAUACUCGAUUCCAAAACAUUACUAUUCAUUAUCCAAAUCAUGUUAUUUGCAAUUGCAAGACACAAUGAAAUGAUGUGCCAUAUAUUAUGUACUUAUUGACAUCAAUAUUAAAUACAAUUUAGGGCUAGUUUACUAUUAAGGUUGAAAAAUGCUUUUAAAAAGUGCGUUAAAAAGUGUUUUUUAAAUUUUUUAUAGCAUUGAUCAUUAUUGUCAAAAAGUGAUUUUGCAAAGAUAAGAUAACAAUUUUAGACAUGUAAAAUAGAAGACUUAAUGAGGGGAUAAAAAAGAUAACCUCAUGGAAAAGCAUGGAAAAGCAUUUUUCCAAAAGUCAAAAGCUAAAAAUUUUGGCUUUUUGAACUCGGAGGAAGUUGCUACAGGUGGAGUGUUGAAGGGUCAUCAUAGCCAGUGGAUUCUUGAAUUUAAUAGAAGGUUGGGGCAGUAUUUUGUAUUCAAUGCUGAAUUAUGGGAUAUUAUAGAUGGAUUGGUUAUUUUUCAAAACAAGAAAUGGGACAAAGUGUCAAUUUGGACAGAUAGCGUCAAGGUUAUACAGUCCAUUAAAGAAAUAUUUACAAGGCUUUUUCAUUCAACACUUAUCAGGCGAAUUCAGCAGAUUUUGUUAGAAAUGGUUCAGUGGGAUUUUGUUCAUAUCCUUAGAGAAGAAAACAUGAAAGUUGAUAGCAUUGCAAAUUUGGCUUUUUACCGGAAUGAGGGUUUGCUGAGAAUCCGCUGAAUAUUAGUAGUUUAAUGUGAUUUUUUUUAUUGGUAUCUUGUACACACGAAAAAAAUACUAAUUUAAAAUCAAUGUUUGAUUUGAAAAGUUACCUCUUUACCAAAUUUUUUUUAUUUAAAAUUAUAGUUUAUUCUUUUCAACCUUGAUAAUAAACACACCCUUAAUUAAUUCCUUAAGCUUGCAAAAGCGUAUGACCCUUGGUAACUAAUUCUAAUUCCCUAUGAAGACGAAACUCUACUUCGGUUUCUUUACAAAGGAUAUUGUGGCAUCCACAUUGUAACCCAAAGUAUAGGGUUUAGUCAAGAAAAGUAAUUAUUCUAAUGUCCAAUAUUUAUAUUAUUUUUAUGACUAAUAGGGUCAAAGAACAACAAUUUGACAUUUAUAUUAGCAAUCUUGACUUUUUUUUUAAAGAUCUUUUCACUAACUAAAUUGGGACUGAAUUGCAAUUUUCAUAAAUUUUAAGUUAAAAACAUAUUGUCCAUAUCAUUUAAAAAUUAAAAUUAAAAUUUUUAGUUUUUUAAUUUAAAAAAUCCUAAUUCAAUCAUUAAAAUUGAUAGUACUUUUCACCAAAAUUUACUAAUUUAGUUUAUUGAUUAAAUUAUCAUUAAUAUAUGAUUUAUGGAAAAUAAACCUAGUAGGUUGAAAAUUUUUGAUAGAAAAUGCUAAAGAUAUUAAUGAUUGGACUUGAUCUUUUUAAUAGAAAAAGUAAAAUAAUUUAAUUUUUUAUUUUUUUAUCAUAAGGAUUAAAUCUCAACUUUAUGAACGUAGAGGAUCUGAUAGUAUAUUUUGAUUUAAAUUUUAGUAAUAUGAAAAACACUUUUUAACUAGAUUUAAUAAAGAUAAUCUCGCAAUAUUAUUAUAAGAAUAAUUUUUAAAGAAAUCAUAUCCACGUUGAACCCUUUAGAUUACCGGUUCUUAAUUCAAUGCAUUAAACUUUCGAUUCAAUAAUGGCUAAAUAAAAAACAAAAAAUCAUAAAAUAUAGAAAAAAAUAAUUAGGUUAUACCACAUCCGUAAUGUGAGUGAAAAGAAAUUAUGUAACAAAUUUAUAAAAAAAAUUAAAUAUAAUUUCGGUUAAAAUGAAAAAAUUGAGCUUUUUUUUUUCUUUUUUAUACAUAGCAAAGUUGAGAUAUUGAAUGUUAUGAUAUUUUGGUUCAUACCCCAUGAUUCUCAUCAUUUGUAUAUAUGUAUAUAUAUAUUAAAUUUAUCAAAAUAAUAAAAAGAUAUAAAUAUCCUCAAAAUAAGAUUUAUUUCUUUAUAAAAUAAAUAAGUUUUUGGUAAUUUAGAACUGAGUUAAAACUCAAUUUAUAGAUGGCGCCAAUUCAAUUAAACAUAAAAUAAUAGUGCAUAAAUAAAUUCUAGAAUUUGACGACAAAAUAUAGGCCAAAACCGAAAAAGAUCGUUUCACAUGGUUCUUUUAGUAGUCUUUUUUUUGUUGUUAAAAUAUGUUGUUAGUCUUUAUACUUUUAACAAUUUUAUAAAUUCAAUCAUUCUAUAUUUUUAAUUUAAAAAGCUUAAUCCGAUUAUUAUUGUUAUUAGUAAUUUCAGUUUAAAUUUAUUAAUAUAACAUAUUUAUUUCUGGUUAAUCAGACAUUAAGGUAGCCUAAUGAAUACAUUGAGAUGUAAAGUUUGACCGGGAAAGAUGAUUUAUAGUGAUGUUGGGACCGCUACACAAUUCAUAUGAAUUUUCCUAAGUAAAUGCUUAAUUGCAUUGAGUGUUAAGUUGAUGAGUUAAUUUGUCGUCUUCCCAAUUAAAUAAUAACAAUGACUUCUCGUUAAUUUCAAUGAAAACAUCGAAAUCAACCAAUGAAGCAACGCCUACGGACGUAAAACAAGUAAUUAAUUUCCCCUUAAUCUACGCUCAAAUGUGCUUUAGACCCCACUGGUUAUUUGGUUGGUCAAAUCAACUUUGAUUAUUUUAAUAAUCUUAUGACCACUAAAUCUUGAUUUAAUGAAUGUAAUUUCGUAUGUAAUUUAAUUUGUGGUUCUUCUUCAACCACACACAAAAUAUUUUUCAAUCAAGAGUUAAUAGGGUUUCAAAAAUUUUGAAAUAUGGUUUGAUUGAGAUCUGGAUAUAUUUUGAUUGUCAAUCUGAUCAUGUUUUUUGUUUUUUUUAAGGUAUUCAUUGGAGCAAGCCUAAUAUUAAUCCUUCAUAUUUUGUAGGUCUAUUAAGGGAGAAGACGUUGGCCAUCAGUUUUAAACUUGCUCCAUACCUAGAAUGAGAAUCAAACUCUCAACCACUGGUUAAUUAAGGUAGUAGAGACUCUUGCCAUCUCAUAUAACCCUUGUGGUUUCAAUUAGGUGAUGUUUUACAAUGAUUCGAGAACUUAAAAAAGAAGUAUAAAAUAACAUUUAGUCUCUAAACUUCUUAAUUUUUUCUAACUUAGCUCCUAAACUAUUUUUUAUCCACAUUAGUAUUGAAACACGUCAACUUUUCUUAAUUUUGAUUCUGUGAUGAUAUGGCAAAACUUUAUAUUUUUUAUAAACAAAUUUGGUGAUUAUGUGGCAUAAUAUUAAGCUGCCACAUCAUCAUACGGACGGGAGUUGAGAAAAGUUGCCAAAUUCCUAGUCAAAAAAAUUUCAAGGACUAAAUUAGAAAAAGAUAACAUGUUCAAGAACUAAAUGUUCACUUUUCCCUAGAAGUAAUUAUUUAUUAGUGGUGAAGCUUUUUCUUUGAUUUUUUUUUCACAUUAUAAGUGUCUUUCUUUUAUAUUUUUGAUUAAGAUUGGGAUAAUUUAAAAGCCUAAUCCUUGGAUUUCUUUUUGUUUGUCCAAUCAUUAUACGAUGAGCACAAAAAUAAAAUAAUAAAAGAUAAUUAAACCUUAAUAGUGCAGACUAUUGGAUCUUGCCGCUACAAAGUAACAUUCUCUUCUUCUUUUUUCCUUCUCAUUUUAAGAUAAUUAAUUUAACAUAAUUACUAUAUAUAGAAUUAUAGAUGUUGGUUUAAUUAUUUCUCUCUUUUUUCAAAAAAAAAUUAUUAUAAAUAUAAAAUAAAUAAAUUGAGAGGUAAAUUAUAUAAUAAAUAUAUAAUUUAUAUAUCAUUAUGUUAAAAAUAUUUUUAAUUAAUAACUCAUUUAUUUAUAUAUAUAAAAAAUUAAUUUUGAUUUUAUAAUAUUAGAAUUUAUCAUACUCACAAUGUAGAUGAAAAAAUAAUGAUAUUUGAAAUAACUAUUUGAUUUUAUAAUAUUAGAAAUCACUAUACCAGAAUGUAGGUGAAGAAAAUAAAUAUUUAAUAUAUAAAAAAUUAUAUAAAGAAAAAAGAUAUCAAACAAAUUAGUUAAAAAUAAAAUAUAUUUAACAUAAUGAUAAAUAUAAAAAAUAUAUAAUUUCAUUAUAUAAUUACAUAUUUAUUAAUUUAUUUAUAUAAAUAGAGGAGUUAUUAAUUGAAAUAUUUUUAACAUCAUGAUAUAUAUAUUAUAUAUUUUAUUAUAUAAUUACAUAUUUAUUAUUUUAUUUAUAAAAUAUUUCAAAUAUCAUUGUUUUUUAUCUACAUUGUGGGUAUGGUAAAUUCUAAUAUUAUAAAAUCAAAAUUAUUUUUAUUAUAUAUAAAUAAAGGAUUUAUUAAUUAAAAAUAUUUUUAAGAUGAUGAUAUAUAUAAUAUUUUUUAUUAUAUAAUCACAUAUUUAUUGUUUUAUUUAUAUAAGUAAAAGAGUUAUUAACUAAAAUUAAAAAAAAAUUAAAACUAUAAAAAAUACAAAUGUGAGUAGGAGAAGGAUCAAACUCGAGACUUAAGGACAGAACUACUGACAUCUAAUCAAGGAAAACGCUUCCUGCAAUCAUUUUCCAACAUCAACUGAAACCACUUAUUGCAGGAAGCGUUUUCUAUUUUUCUCUCCAAAAUCGGUCUAUCUCCCUAAAUAUAAAAAAGAAAGGCUUAAAUCGCUAAUGAUUUUAUAAAAACGACAUGUUUAUCUAAUUUACCCUUAAUUAAGGAGUCCACUUUACAAAGUAACAAUUGCUUCAUUGGGUUGUAUAGUAAUUAUAUAUAAUGCUAUUAAAUUUGUAACCAUAUUAUUAGUCAUGUAACGAUUUUGAAGUCAAAUAUUAAACAAAUGUCAUGGGAUUCCAAAAAGGAUGUUUCAUGAAAUAUUAUGAUAUUGAAAAUGAAGGAUGUGAUGUUUAUAUUAUUAAUAAAUCAAUUUUAAAAUGCCAAUUAUUAGAUUGAUCCAAUGUUGGGUUUGGAUCUCACUAAAUCUUUUCACUACAUAUUGUAAAAUACUAAGUUGUUUAUAUUGAUCUUAAUUUUUUAUUUUUUUUAGGGAUCUAAAAUAAAUGAGAAGUGAUUUAAAAGGGUGUGGAAAGAUAUCUAUUAAUAGGAAGAGGUAGUAUUCGACAUAAUGAUUGUGUAUUUUUUAUUUAUUUUAUAAGUAGUUUUAAAAAAUAGAUAUGUUUUUUAUUGUGGAGUUUAAAAAUUCUAUUCAUGGUGCAUUAAAUAUUAUUGAGUCUUAGCUCAAUUGGCAUCGGUAUUAUUACCAGUGUAGGAGGAUGUGGGUUCGAAUUUGUUAAAAUGCAUUACCCUUCUAUUUAAGAAUUGGAGAUGAAUUAUAGGUACUUUUUAAGUAUUCUAUUAAAAAGAGCAUGGGAAUUAUUAUUAUAUUAAUUUGUGAUUUCAUAAAUUUUAAAGGGUUUUCUAAAAAUAGAACGUCAGUAAUGUCAAUAUAUUGCAAAAAAAAAAGAAAUAAAAAUAAAAAACACACAGAGUUUCGACUACAUCUAUUUAUAGGUUGAAAAAUAUAUUAUAUUCAUAAAUACUAAAUCUUGUAGAAAGAAGAUAUAUUUUUUUUAACUUAACUUACAAGCAAUUUCUUAGAAUUCGAGUCACACAACUCUAACAGGUUUAUAUAACUAAUUUAUCAUUCUUGGGGAUACCAAGGCCACUGCUUACUCUCAAUACAGUAGAUGAUCAGAUGACCAACCAAUGAACAAUUUAUAUGCAAUCUAUAAACCAAGUGCUAAGCCAGAAAUUGAACAUUUUUGGAGCUCACGUUGGUCUUGUAAGAACUUCAACUUUACAAACCAAUCCGUCCAUCUCCUUUAGAAGAACCUUUGAUGUCAAAUUCAUGGGUUCCAUUUCUUUACAUUUUACAACUAAAAUUCACCAACCCAAUCAUCAAUCAAGCUUGCUAUUUCAUCAAACUGUGAUUCCACUCUUUCUUUUUAAUUUUUUUUUCUUGUUUUCCAAAUGCUUAACCAACAAGGAAGGACAUUUAGGAUGGAUUGGAUGACUCUAUAUUAUAUAUUCUUGACAACCAUGACUUUUAAAUCUUGUCAUAUCUUUACUUUAAUUUGCACUCAACUUUAGUUUAUUCUUUAAAAUUUGAUGGUUACACUAGUAAGAUAUUUUUGCAUUUUCGAAGAGAAAAUUUCGGUCCAAAUUUUAGAAAUGACAUUGUUAAGAGAAACAAUCAUAAUCCCUGAAAAGAUUAGCCAUCAUGAACCAUAAGGAUGAAGUCAAAAAUUAAUUUUUAGGGGCGGAAUUAAGUUAUGUAUUCUUUUUAUAGCUAAAAUACAAUUUCAUCAAUGUAUUAGCUUAUAUCUUUAUAACUUUUAAAUGAUUAAAAUGUUAUCAUUUUUUAAUGCUAAAAUGUCAUUUAUCAUUUUAUAGUUUUAUAAAAUAUAAAAGGACUAAUGUGAUAUUUUUUUUUAUUUUAGAGACUUUGGUUCCUACCAAUCUCUUAAUAUCGCCCUUGAUGAAUCAUAAAACCACUAUGAAAGAUAUCUAAAGAUUAGAUUUUAUUGAUUUUUCUAAUUUCCUUUAAAUUAGAAUUGUGAUUUGUCUAAGCUCUUGACCCUCCUCUUGAGUCAAUUAGUUGGAAGCAUGAAUCAUACUGUUUUUUCUAUCAUUAUACGUACAGUGAAAUUUGAAAUUUUUUGCUUAAUUACUGUUCUAUAUUCAGUCAAAGCACAUUAAUAUCCAGAAAUUUGGAUUACCAAAAAUUUAUUAUGUUUUGUGAUUUGGAAACAAUAUGAUAGCUAGCUUUAACCUUCUAUUAAUUCUAAAUCAUCAGAUAAGUUGUAUUGCACUUUUUUGGGUUAAAUUCUGAUAUUAAUUUUUAUAUUUUAUAAAAGUUGUGGAUUUAGUCCCUGCAUUUUAAUUUAGUUAUUUUAGUUUUAUACUUUACAAAUUUUAAAAUUUCAAUUUUCAUCAAACAAUAAUUGCUAAAUUCAUUAAGUUUUCUAUUUUCAAAAUAUGAUGCGGGAAAUAUAUUAUUAUGUGUAAUGUCAUGCCAACUUAUUAUUUUCACAUAUUAUUCACUAAAUAACCAAUUAAUAGAUGUUAUUUUGUGUCAAUACCAAAAUUUCAAAAUUUUAAAAGCAUAAGAACUUAAAAUGGCCCAAUUGGAGAAUAUGAACUAAAUUUAUAAUUAUGCGCAUAGUACAAUACUAGUAAUUGAAUUUAACCAAACAAAUUUAACGUUUAUUGUUUUGGUAAUGACUAAAAUUUUAAAAUUCGAAAAGUACAGAAAUUAAAAUUGAUCAAAUUAAAAUAUAAAGACUAAAUCCACAACUUUUUCAAAGCAUAGAAACUAAUAGCAAAGUCUAAACUUAUUUUUUAUAUAUUUCAUGUUUGUUUUGUGAUUCAUGUUUGUUUUAUGAUUCAUGUUUAGGGUUUUUGACUAAUCUUCUCAAUAAUAUCGUCUUUAAAAUUUUAAUAUUUAUUUUUUAAUAUGAUAAACUUUAACACUACACCCAACAUUUAUAAAUCAUCGAAAAUAAACUGUAUUUCGUAUGAAUUAUUUUCAAACACAAAUAGCACAUCCAAACCAUUCACUUUUCUUUGAAAAAUCCACACAAAAACCAACUUGUUAAACAUCAUAUCUAUUGUUGAAUUAAUCAAUAAUAGUAGUUACUUUAAAAUAUUCCUUUAAUCGUAACCCCUAUACUUGAAAAAUAAAAAGGAACCUAGCUAUUUGCAUAAACAAAACCAUUAACGCAUAGAUUCCAUGGUGUUUAACAAAUUAAAAGAAAAAUCAUGGAUGCAACACUAUGAUCAUGAAGGGAACCAUGUGGAUGAUUAAGACUUUGUCGUUUUAUUAUCUUUUUUUUUUUUUAUAAAUUUUUGUCACAACUUGCAUUUACUUUAGAACAUGGGUUUUCAGUUUGUACAUUAAUGAAAUGAAGCUGGUAUAUGAUUAAGCUUUCUUUUUUCUUUUUUUAAAUAUAUGAUCUAGAAAUCAAGGCAAUAUUUUUUUAUUAGCUAUGGAUUUAAUUGAAUUUGACAACUUAAACACAUGCUUAAUAACAUGUAAUUAAAAAUAAGAAAAAAGCCAAAAUAAAGGUUAAAAAAAAACCCUAAUCUUAUAUAUAUAUAUUGCAUGUCAGCUUGUGAAGAGGACAUAACUUUAUAAAGGCCCUAACUAAGAGACAUAGCAAAUGAUGUUUGCAGUUAAGGGAGAUAGAAUAGGGAAAUGAGUAUAUAUUAAAACAGGCAUUGGCCUUCACAUGAUGAUGUUAUUGUUUAUCUAUUCAUAAGGCAAUUGCUUUAUUGUUAUUAUUAUUAUUAAUCAAAGUAAUUGUUAGGUUCAAUGCAUGUAUGCCCCAAAAUGCAGGAUAUGCUGAUCCCUAAUGUAGUACUUUUACUGUUUAAGUUUAAUUUUGUUUAGGUAAAAGGUUGUGUUCAAAUAAAUUCUUUUUAAUGAUGAUUUCUUCAAAUAAGGGUGAAGUCAGGAAAUUAUUUUAAGGGAGUAAAAUGAAUAAAAAUUUUUACAGGAAUCAAAGUGUAAUUUUAUCAAUAUACUAUUAAAAGGACUAUAUAAACAUUUUUUUUUCUUUUGAGGCUCCUUCUGCUCUGGUUCCAAAUUUUUUGAACUUAAUCGAAUUACUUGAAAAAGAAGAGAUUUUUAAUUUGACAUGAAUUCACUUUCUUAAUUUCCUCGUCCUAUAAUAAGAAUCCAACAAAUGUCAAUUAAUCAUAAGUGUAAUGAUAAAUAACUUGCAUUGCUUAAAUCCUUAUUCCUAUACCUAUUGUUUGGUUCAAAAUUAAACAACCCCAGCUAUUACCUUUGAUUUUUAAAGAAUACAAUAUGUCGAACAAAUAAGCAAUAAUGUUCAAUUAUUCCAAAAAAUUCUCACAUCAAUAUUAGAAUUCUAAUCCAAACUUGAAAUUUUGAUCCAAUCAAUUUGAAUUCAAACUUGAUCCAAUUUUAUCAUAAAAAUUUAUAAUUUAAUUUUAUCUAAAAAUUGAUCCAAAAUUAAAAUUGACCCGGACUUAAAAUUACCUUAAUCUAAAUUAAUUCGAAUUCUUAUUGAUUAUACUCUAAAUUUAAGCCUCAAACUCAAAUGAUCUAAACUCAAAAAUAACUAUCCAAAAUCAAUUUAACCCUUCUAAAUAAAUAAAAGCUUCGAUGAAUAUGAGAUUAACACAUAACACAUUGAAAAUCAUCAUAAACAAGUCCUUAAACGUUUUUGGACCGACCAAAACACCUUGCAUUACUAAGCUUUAAAUUCUCUCAUACUCUCAUUCGAUCUCUAAUCUUCUCUUAACACCUACAUUUUGACCAUCUUAACUUACCUAUAACUCUCACCUUCCAAGUAAACCAUCCAAACAUCACCAUAACCCCACCUAAAAACCUGUCAAAUGUUUAAAUCUUCACAUCUUCACCUAGGAAAAUUGGGAAACCCAAUUAAGAAGAAUCCCAUUAGCAAUUAGGAGAAGGAACCAUUGGAGCAUUAAAAAGAAGUCAUCACUAAAAGUUUGCCACGUGACCCUCUUGUCACGUGUUAGUGAAGAAGAAGCCCAAACAUCAAUGCGUUUGCAUGUGCAUUUUGGGUUUUCGUUUCGGUGGCCUAUUCUUACUUUCACGCUCCCACGUGACUCCAUUUUUGCCUGUCUUAGGGUGGGCGAUUGGGUGCGGUGCUGUGUGUUUAACUUAUUUUUUGUCUCACGCUACAAUAUCGCUACAGUAUCUAAUCUCACCGCCACCGCUGUUUUUACACUAACCGCAAGUAAAUGCACCGCUCAUCCAAACCCACCCUUAGUUUGGGGGUUAUGAUUUUUUUCUUUUUUAGUUUCUCUUCUCUUAAUUAACCCUAAUUUUUGGUUUAUUGGUUAAGAUAGAAGUUUUGAAUUCGUGAGUAUUUGGGCUCGAGCUUCAUACUCGAGUGAAGUCAUAAAUUUUGGGGAGAUCAAGGGUAAAUUAUAUAUUAAUGUAAGAGUUAAAAUAUAAUUUUACAAUUGUAUUGAUAUAUAUAUAUAUUUAUAAUUUUUAAAAGGAUAAAUUAAUGAGCAUCAAACUACAAUUUUACUAUUUAUCUAUUUAUAAAUUUAUAAAUUUUCAGAACUAAAAGUAUAAUUUUCCAUUUGAGCAGGUUUUCCUUCGCCAUUGCCUAUGCCGCAUGUCAUGGAUUUUGUUCAAUUCUUUUUGGAUUAGUCUAGUUUUAUUUAGUUUUUUUGUUUGCUGUGCGCUGUAAUAAUUAAAUUCUAUAUUGUAAUUGAACAAAUAUAUAAUUAUAUUUGUAUUAUCCUAGUAACUAUAUUUGUACUAGUAAAACUUAAAAAAAAUUAACCUUAUUUUUCCUACUUAUAAUUGUAAUUGAUUUUGAUUUAUAAUUGUAAUUGAUUUUGAUUUAUGAAUGAUUGGUUCAAUUCUUUAACAUUUGGAACAAUAUUAACAUUCUAAUUUUCAAAUUUACUAUUCAUUUAGUUUUUUUUAGUUACAAUUAUACAAGAAGUUGUAUAAUAUUAUUUAUAAUAUUAUUGAAUCAAUAGUUGAAUAAAGAAAUUGAGAACAACAUUUUAAAUUAAAACCUUUGGUUUAGUUUGGGUUCAAUUCUACUAAAUUCAAUUCAAUUUCAAUUCGAUUAUUACAUAAAUAUAUUCGAUUUGAUUUAAAUUAUGAUUUACAAGUUAUUAUUUGUAUAAACCCAAAUUUUAAUUUUUAUAGCGUGAAAAAUAAUCAUGAAAUAUUUAAAGUAAUGAAAAUAAUUUAAAAAUAUUAUUUUUAAAAAAAUUAUGAACCUAUCUAAGCUAAUGGAAUCAGAAUGAUUGGGUUAAAUUUAAAAUUCAAUUUGAGUACAAUUUCGAUCACUAAAUUCACACAAUGAACUAAAAUUUGCCAUGUUAUCUUCUUCCAUCUUAAUCUAAAUUUAUUUAUUUUUCUUUGGUUGUCUAAUACUCUUUGGUAUUCAUGUCCCAAUUAAAUUUAAAGUCAAAUUAAAUUGAGUCUCUAAAUAAAACAAGUUUUUCUCAAUCCAUGAGAUUAAAACCUUUAUAAAAAUUGAGUUGAUUGAUUAAGUUUUGAACAACAUUUCUUCACUAAAUAUUGGAAAGUAAUGGUUCAAUAUUGGCAUGAAAAGUAAAGAAAAAGAAAAGCAUUGCAAACAUAAAAAGGAAAUUAAUAAUUAAAGCCAUCACUAAUCUCAAUAAAACAUGUCCUUAGCUUCAAAAAAGGAAUAAUCAAAGGACGAAUAUUGUGCCACUUAUAAUGAAGACACCCCAAUUUUGUCUAGCUUUUAUUUUUUUUAAUUGUUUCAAUGUGGAAGAACCCUUUCAAAGCUUUUAUGUUAUUAAUUGGGGUUUCUUCCAAGAGAUAAAUUAAGACUUUUAAUGAAUGGAACAGGAACCCAUUCAUCAAUAUUUUAAUCAAACAAUGACAACCAAAAGUCUAAACAAGAAAGAUUAUAAUAUUAUAUUUUAAUUAAGAGAAUAUAAUAAUGGGGUAAAUAGAUUAUAAAGCAAAUCAUAGUUAAUGGAGCCAAAACAGUCCAAAUAAGAGGCCUCCUUUUGAGGAGCGGAAAGCAUAUACGCAAAAGAAAGCUGGGCUACAUGGUGCCUAAGAGUAGGUAGGGACCAAAAAGUUGGGGAAAAGUAUUGUGAGGUUGUGAAUGUAAGAUUAAAGAAUAAAUUGGUCAUUCUGUUAAAAAUAUUAUUCAUUUUCAAUGUUAAAAAUUAGUUUAUAUAUGUCAGCAUAAGAUACAUGUGGCUAGUCAUGUGUAAUUAUCUAGUUAUUUUGUCAGCUACACUAGUUUUUAAUAGUAAAAAUAGAUGAAAUUUUGAAUAGAAUGGACCAAUUACUUUUUAAUCUAACUUAUGAGGGCUAAUUUGCCCAUUUUUAAGUAAAUGAGACAAUGUAAUUUGACUCUUGGUAUAGGGCUUUCAUGGUACUUUUACCAUAAUUUUGUGUUGGGAGGUCAAAAUUAAAUCAUAAAUUUUUCGGAACAACAAAUUGUAAUUUUAUCAAUGUUUUAACAAAUAUUUAAGUGGUUAAAACUUGAUAUUAGUCUCUGUACUUUGCAAAAGUUAUGGAUUUAAUCUUUAGACUUUAAUAUAGUCAUUUUUAGUCCCUAUACUUUUCAAACUUAAAAAUCACAGUCCUUACCAAACAACAAAAGUUAAAUUCAUUAAGUUCUAUUAUUUCGAAAAUUAGAUAGUUGAACAUAUAAUCAUAUGUAUAAUGUCAUGCCAGCUUGUUAUUUUCACAUAUACUAACUAAAAAUCUAGUUAAUGAAUUAUUUUCACAUAUACUAACUAAAAAUCUAGUUACUGAAUUAACGACUAUCAUUUGCAUCAAGACUAGAAUUUUAAAAUUCGAAAAGUAUAGGGACUUAAAAUGAUUCAAUUGGAGAAUAUAGACUAAAUCUAUAACUAUUAGCAUAGUACAUGAUCGGUAAUUGAAUUUAAUCAAAUGGAUUUAACUACUACUGCUCUGAUUAAGAUUAAAAUUUCAAAAUUAGAUAAGUACAGAGAUUAAAAUUAACCAGUUCAAAAAUACAAAAACUAAAAUUGGCCAAACUAUAAAGAUUAAAUCUACAACUUUUACAAAUUACAUGAACUAAUAACAGAAUUUAACCUAUUGAAGUAGUAUUUGAAGGAACAAGGGAGCUAAUGCUUAUGUCAACAUUUCUUGAAUUUGUCCCUGGUAACAAGUCAAGAUAAGCUAGUAUUCAUAUUGUGUCCAUAUGAUUUCUAUAUGUUAUUAUCGUAUUUAAUAUAUAUUUAUUUAAUUAUAUAUUUGUAUGGCUCUGCCAGAAAAUUUUUCGUUUAAAUCCUUUAAAUUUUUAUAAUUUUAAAUUAGUAAAGAUAACAUUAUACUUUGACCUCUCCUAAAAUGAUAAAAGUUUGAUUUAAUCUUUUAAAAAUUAUAAAGAUAUAGGGCUAUUGAAAUAGUGAAAUUACAAUUUGAUUUCGACUCCUAAAAUUUUUUUUGACUUCGUGGCUGCAUAUUUGUGUUUUUUUUUCUUAUUGUAUUAGGUAUCCUACACCUAAACUGAAUUCUUUCUGGUUAAAGACUCUCUUUCUUACUCUGGAACAAUUAGGAGAUUCUCUAGAAGAAAUACGGGGUUCUGCUUUUGGCAACAACUCAAUCAUGUAUGAUGGAAUCAUCAAAGAUUUGACCUUUUUGAACUCUGUCUGUAACUCACUAUAGGCUCGGGAAACAAAGAGAAGAUGUGUACAAACGAGAUAUCCAGCAACAAGAAGAAGGAAAAGGAUUGAAUAGAGGAAUUCCUGAACAUUUGGCGAUCUCAAAUGUGUCGAUAUCAAUGGUGACUCAUUAUUUCGAUGAAUCAUUUCUUCGGACAAAAGAAAAUUAUGUAAACACUUACUCGAAAUCUCACUUAUCAGAUUCCAUUGUGGAAGACACAAAUUUUUCUGAAGAAUUCGCCAUGAUAUAUCUGAUCCAUGCAUAAUAUCAUGGAAAAUGGACAAAAAUUUUUGACUACUACUUAGUAUCGGCAAUAAAUCUGAAAAAGUAUCUAAAAAUAUCAAAUUUAGAUAUUUAUACCCUGUCGAAGUAAAAAACCAUGACUUAUAUGUUUGGAAUAGAUUCUGUUUUAAGAGAGUUAAAAAAGCACUACCUCGUUGAACGUGUUUUAAUUAUGGCAAGGUCUAAUUGGUUCUCCAUUCAUCUCUCAAUAUUGGAGCCCAUUAUGUUGAUUAUGGGCCUCAAGAUCAAAACUUGGCUGAGUUGCUUGGUCCAAUGUUAACCGAAUAGGGACAAUUUAACCUUGUAAAGCCCAAAAAUACAAAUAAUACUAGAAUUCUCUCAACCACUUUGUCGGUGAAAAAUAUUUUUUAGAAAUAUUAUUUUAUAAAAACUAAUAUUGAUUUUGAAAAGGAAAUAACAUUUUUAAGUAAAUAAUUAUUUUUAAAAAAAAAUUGAAAGGGCUAAAUAGUUCUAUAUGUACGUAAAUUAACUUUAUCCAUGUGCCAAAGCCCGAUUCAAAAAAUUUUCAAGCCUAAGUUCGAAUUUGACCUUGUCCAAAGUUAUUAAAACUGGAUUGGAUCAAUCGAUCGAUACAUCGAUUCAAGGCAAAAAAGAAAUUAAUUAAUCCAAGAAUUGAUAUGAAAAUAGAUUAAAUUAAAUUAUUAAUUUUUAUAAGGGCUCAAAAUGUAAUUUUUUAUUUAAUUACAGGGUUGAAAUGAAUUAAAGUGAAUUAUUAUUUCUAAAAGGGACUGAAAAAGAAUAUUAUACUAUUUAAUUAAGGGGCUAAAGUCCCUAACCUACCUCCUAGUUACGCUUUAUAUAUGUAUAUACUAAAAAUUGUAACAUGUGUGUGAAAGAAGUUAUAUAUGAUAAUUGGUAGUUAUAGGUUGCGUUGGUUUCAUAAAAAAAUAUUUACAAAAAAUUAUUUUGUAUUUUUUUUAUAUUUAUUUCAUGAAAAGCAGCUUGUCAACAUAAAAUUAUUUACAAGUCAGUGGAAAAUAAGCCUCUUUUUUAUAAAUUGACUUAUCUAUUUUAAAAGCAUAAGUUAUUUUCUAAAAAAGAGCUCGUUUAUAAGUAAUUUUAUUUUUAUAUAAAAAUUAAUUUGAAUUAAACUUAAAAUUAUUAUAUUAAUGAUAAAUUUUAAUUUUAAUUUUAAUUUUAAAAUAUUUUUAAAAAAUAUAUAGUUUUAAUAUCAAAUAUUAUAAUAUUCAAUGUUAUUAAACAUACAUAUUUAAUUAUUUAUAUUUAUUAAUAUAAUUAAUAUGAUUUAUUAUUUUAAUAAGUUAUUUAAUAUUUAUAUUCAUAUUUGUUUAAAUCAUGCUUAGCUUCAUUUAUCCUUCCAACUCUAAUGUAUCACUAUCCACUCUCAUAUAUUUAAUGUAUGUAAUUUAAAUUAAGUUUUAAUUAGGCGUUGCAUAUUAUUAAAUUUAUAUAUGAUAUUAAUUAUUAUAAAAUAUUAUCUUACUAUAAAAUAAAUUCCGGUUGUCAAAAGAAAAUGAUACUAUAAUAUUUUGUAACAAAUAUAUAUAUAUAUGUUGUGUUUGUUUACUUAGAACAAUUUUUAGAAAAUGGUCUCAGAAAAAUUUGUCAAACAACGGAAAAUAUUUUAUACAGAAUCAUCCAAACACCAGAAAAUAUUAAUUUUUCUAAGAAAAUUUCAAAUACUUUUUUUUUUGAAAGUUGUUUUUAGUGAGACAGGUACUACAUUAUUAUUUUUAAGAAAUAAAGGAUUUAUAAAAAUUUUAAAUUACAUUUACUCUUAUUUAUUUUAUUUUUAUUAUGAAUGUGUUGUUUUAAUUUAUUUCUUCUCAUUUAAUUAACUCAAUUCAAAAGUUCUAUUUAUAGUAUAAAUAUAUUUAAUUGGUCCGGCAUAUGAUGGGCCUUAUUUAUAUAUUUAGGCAUGUCAUGUAACAUAUUGGGCCUCUAGAUGGGUUUUAGGAACAAUCUGAUUUUAAUUUAGUAGGUUAGUUUUUUUUAGAAAAUGUAGACUAGAUGUAGGAUGAGAUUUAUAUAUAGGUAAAACUAUCAUGGAAAUUUAUACAUUGGAUCAAAGAGUAAACUGGUCUUUCAGUUAAAAUUUCCAUCUAUUUCUAUUAUUAAGUGAGAAUGGAUUACUGUCUAGUUGCUUGAAUUAGUUUCUUCACGUCAGCGUAAAGUACAAGAGACAAAUUAAUUUGUUAAAAAUUUCCAUCAAUUCUAUCCAUCUCGCUAUUUGUUUAAAAUUCUAUUUAUUUUUAACAAAAGAGCUACUUUGCUUUUUAACUUAAGGACUAAUUUAUCAAAUUUUAAAGUGAAAAGGGGUGAAACGCGAUUUGAUUCUUAAUAAAAAGACUCAAUGGUAGCUCUACCAUUUGGAGAUAAACAAUAGAUACAUAAGUAUGCAAAGCAAUAGAUAUACAAUAAAACUAGUGAUAUUUCUAGAUCAAAUUCUUUGAUGUACUCUUUAGACUAAGAAUUUAUGUGGAGAUCACUUGUUUUGAUAGAUACAAGGGACAAAUUAUAUUAUUAAAGGAUAUAAAACACAUACUAUAUAGUAGCUAGCUAGGAUAUGGACUUUUACAUUUUCAUCAUUUUAUCUUUUUUCUCAUGCCUACUUAUCUUUGUCUUAAUUGAAACCAUGCCCAAGUAGAAAUGGAUUUAAUUAUUGUCUUAGUUUCUCAAUUAUGUUGAGAUUAAAUUUGUUUAUGGGUUGGAUUAUUCGUCCAAGUUCGAAGGCCCGUUCAAAAUUUAGGAGGAUUUAGAUAAAAAUAUUAGGCUUAAAAAUGGGUUUGAGCAAAAAUAUUAGGCCUGUUUAAAUUAUGGGUCAGGCUUGGGCUUGAACAUUCAAGGCUCGAGCUCAACCCGACCCGACCAUUUUUAAGUCUUUAAAACUUAAUAUUAUGUUAUUUUUAUAUAUUAUGUAAUUUAUAACACAUAAAAAAUAAAUCUAUACUAAAAAUAUAAUACUACUCUAAUGUAAACAUUAAAAUAAUGUUAAGAUUGCUAUAUAAAAAUAUUCAAUAAAAAUAUUUAAAAUUAUUAAAUAUUAAAUUAAAAUAAUGCAAUUUUUUUAAAAAAUAAUAUGAGUGAGCCUAAAAUGAGAUUGGGUUAGUCUUUUACAAAUAUAGGUGGGCUUGAGCGAAAUUUUAGGCCUAUAUUUUGGGCAGGGUCAAGCUUGGGCAAACAUAAAUUAUGUUAAUAUCAUGCUUAAACUGAUCUGAAUCCAACUAAUGAACACCUCAGAAAUUUAGGAUUUAAUUUGUCUGAUUUAAUUUUGAUCAAAUUGAUAACAAUGUUAAUUGUUGUGAUUUAUAUAUAUUAUUUGUACUUAACCACUAAUAAAUUUACAUGGCAGAUCAAUCUUUAAGCUUUUUUUUUUAUUUUUUAAAUUUAUAUAAUCACUUUAACUUAGACUUUUCCAUGGGUCGGGCUACUCAUCCAAGUUCGAAGGCCCACCAAAAUUUGGUAGGGUUUGGGCAAAAAUAUUAGACUUGAAAAAUUGAUUUGGGUAAAAAAUUGUCCCGUUUAAAAUAUGGGUCAGAUUCAAGCUUGAUCAUUCAAUGCCUUAGCUUGGUCCAACCCGACCUAUUUCUAAUAUAUUAUAUUGUGUUAUUUUUAUAUGAUGUAUAAUUUAUAACACACACUAAAAUUAAAUCUAUAGUAAUAUAUAAUACUAUAAUGUAAACAUUAAAAAAAUAUUAAGAUGUCUAUAUAUAAAAUUUUAAAAAUGAAAAAUAUAUAAAAUUGGUUAAAAAUUAAGUUAAAAAAAAAGGGCAAGCCUAAAAUGAGCUUGGGUUAGCCUCUCACAAAUAUGAACGGGUUUAAGUUAAAUUUUAGACCUAUAUUUCGAGUUAGGUCAGGCUUGAGCUAGUAUAAAGUAUGUUAAUAUCAUGCUUAAGCGGGAUUUGACUUAUCAACACCUCUAUUUUAAUCGCAACAACUAAAAAUAUUAUGAGUUCGAACGUUUUAGGAAACAAAUGAAACUAAACUAAAGUUUAAAAAUGAAACCUCAAUUUUAUUAUAGACUAAAACUAGAAUAAACCACUAAAAAUGAACCGAUAAGAGCCAUAUUAAUAAAAUCAUAGAUGUGGCACAUUUCAUCCUUAACUAAACCUCGUUACACACUAGAAAAAUUAUUUAAUAUUAAUGAUCCAACUUAAUUACAACCAAACAAUUCUUUAAAAGUCAACUUGAUUGAUUGCUUAAUUAGUAUGUUUCAAUGGAAGGAGUCUAUAUUUUAUUAACUAAGCAAAGGGACAACAAAUUAAAGUCUUUUUGUAUUAAUAUUUGAUGGCAAGCAAUUAGAGGACGACGAUGCAAACAAUGGGUAUAGAGAAAAAAAAAUUAAGAUUAAUUCGAGGAAGUAGAUCAUUUCUCUGUAUUCAUUUGCUUCUAAAAUCACCUUUCUUUGACAUAUCCAUGAUAAUUAAGUUUAAAAUAUAAUAAGGAUAAUCUCUUACUAGUCAUUUUCUUUUUUUAAAAAAGUAUGGGUGAAGUUGUUUAGGAAUCAAAUAUGAGAUUAAUGUGGACUGAAAACAUGAACUCAAAUUCUUUAUUCUUCUUCUUGUGAUUUAAUCGACGAGUUUUACUAGUAGCUUUGAAAAGAUAAUAAAUAGGCUAUAAAUUAUAAUGGUUAAUUUAGGUUUUUAGUAAAACUAGAAAUGUUGUUCACCAAAGUAAAAGAAAAAGUUAAUUCAAAGAGAAUAAACCAACAAGAUAGAAAAUUUAGAUACGUAUUGAAAAUUUGGAUAGAGAAUUUAGAAACCAACAAGGUUGAGAUAGAUAAUUUCAUUGGAAAUGUUCUGCAAGUAAUAUUUGAAAAAGCAUUGGUUUGAUUUUCUUCUCCUGGAAACAGAUGUUGUAACAAAUUUUUCGACCCACUAUUUUGGAAGUUAAACACGGGAGUAAAAGAAUAGCAAAAAAACUAUAAUUGUUAAUGCAAUUCGAAUUAACAAUUUCACUACUGUAGAGUUUAGCUCAGAGAAUAAAUUCGCUAAUUAUUAACAGUUGAUUAAAGCCCAAUCAACUCAACUCUCACAUGGAUAAUUGCAGCCUCAGUGUUGUCUAAUUGUUUGCACUCCCACUCCCCACAAUAACUGAUGAAUGUCAAAAGUAACAUAUUUUAAUUUCAUUCUUAAUGCAUUUUUGGGUGAUUAAUCAAUGGAAAAUGGUGAAUUUUAUGCUCCUAUAAUUCUUUAAAUUCAUGUUUCUAUACUUAGGAGAAUAUUUGGGAGUAAAACGAGCGAAAACAUACUGUAAAUCGAAUGAUUGGAGCAGAUUUCAAGAGCCACACGGGCUGGGCCUUCCUACACAGCUAUGUAAGCCAUAUGACCCUAUGCCAGACCGUGUGGAUUUCGCAAUUCGCACUCCGAACACGUGGAAAAAUAUAAUUUUUAGGUUUUCCGGGCAUUUUAAGACCUAUAAAUACCAAAUAUAAGAAGAGGAGAGGGGCCCACCAGAGAAGAUUGAAGAAAACAACUCGAAAAAUGCCAUUGAAGUAAAUUCUGAAGUAGAUUUCCAUCAAGAUUGAAGAUUUCCUUUUAAUCUCUUUGAAGUUUAUUAUGAGUUCCUUGAUUUUUUGUGGUUAUACUGAUUUUGAGAUGUUUUUAUUCGCGAUUAUGAACUAAUUUUCUAAAUACCUAGGGGAGAUGAACCCUAUGAUGAAUUUUGUCUUUUGAUUUCUGUUUUACGCAAUAAUACUUGAAUCUUGUUCUCAGUUAUGUGUGCUUAAUUCAUGAUUUAAUAUUUCUGAAUUAUUAAUUCAUGUUUGAUGUGCUUAAUUCAGAGGAGGAAUAGACCCUAUUUAAGAGUAGAUCUAACAUAAUUGAGCCUGAAAUGACCGGAAUCCAAGAUAACUUGAUCUUGACAUCUGCUCUUUUUGACACAAUACCUAGAACUACCCAUAGUCCCUCCCAACCUAUAAAUAGGAGGAUAAUGUGCUUCAGUGCACUCGAACCCACAUCCUCCUACAUUGACAAUAAUGUCCAUGUCAAUCGAGCUAAGACUUAAUCGAUUUCAUAUAUAUUUUUUAAAUAUAAAUAUUUAUUUGAUAAACUGAUGAUUUUUUUUUAAAAUUUUAUAAGUAAACUUAAAAAAUUAUCAUGAUUCUCAAUGAUUAUUUUUAGUUUUUUUUAAAUACCAAUUAAUAUAUAAAAUUGCCACAACUAAUAUAUAAAACAACAAUCCCAUUAAUAAAUAUUAAACAUGAAAAUAAAACAAUAUAUGGUAAAUAAAAGAAUCAUGAAUCAUGUAAUUACGAUCUUAUGAAAUAUAUUUUCAAUAAUUUUUGAAACAGGAAUGUUUCUUAUCUCUACACUAUAUACUUAUCAAUACAACAAAAUUAAAUUGAAAAUGCAUGAGAAAAUUGAACCAAUGAAAUAGAGUUGGCGUUGCAGCCAAAGUAUGACAUUGUACCUGCAAACACAUAGAGGAAUAGGAUAGCUAGCUAGAUGAGUUUGAGUAGGCAAAUUAAAAUUUAAUUAUAAUAGCACAAAAUCCAAAUGCUUAUUACAAGAUUUGGGGGAUACGCCCGGUGUUAGGGUUUCACCUUUAUCUCUAUAUCUUUCUUUUCCCCUCUUUUUAACCCCCAUUACUCUCUCUAUAUAGCCCAUUCUCCCCCAUCUCCAUCACCUAUCUUAAAUGUUUCAAGUGCCAUGGCUACUGAGCUUGGCCUUCUCUCAUUGAACCACCUUCAAAAGUUAGCUCAAUCUCAACAACACCAGACCCAUCAUCAUCAUCAUCAUCAUCAUCAAGUUAACCCUAAUUCAACGGCUGGCUCGUGGAUGUGGAACCCCAUCAAGGCUCAAGAAGUACCCCAUGAACCAGAUGAUUAUGAGUCAUGGGAAGUUAAGGCCUUUGCUGAAGAAACAAGCAAUGCUAUGGGCACAACUUGGCCACCAAGGUCAUAUACUUGCACUUUUUGCCGACGAGAAUUCCGGUCAGCUCAAGCACUCGGUGGUCACAUGAACGUUCACCGCCGUGACAGAGCUCGUCUUCACCAAACACAACCACCACCCCACGGUGGUGAUGCUACUACUGGUCCAUUAAUCAACCAUACUCUCCUCUACCAAUUCCCUAGCCCUAAUGGUCUUUUCUUCACUUCUUCACCUACCAACAAUGCAUGUUCCAUUGAUUCACCUUACCAUCCUUCGGUGCCGCCGAAAAAUUUUCCGGCAACCCCUCCGGGGUUGAAUAGUUCUUCUUCUCUUUGUUCCUCAUCUCAAGAUCUCAAGGAAACAUCAAUGGAAGAUCUUGAUCUAGAACUUCGAUUAGGGCAUAGACCAAAAACAACAAUAAAAGAACAAAAUCAAAGAGCUUGAGUUUGCAAUUUUUUUACAUUUAUAUAUAUUUUCCAUGUUUGAGAUAUAGUUUUGAUUAACUUGGUGUGAGAUUUUUUUUGUUAUUUUUUUCUUCAAAAUUUUUUAUUUACUUGUAUGUGUGGAAGUGAAGAAAACAAAGAACGAUUCAUUAUUAUAUUGGUAUUGUUCAUAUCUGUUUACGAAAUUUAUUAUUAUAAUUAUUUGGAAGAAUUAAAGGAAAACAAGAUUAGGGUUUGAGUGAAAAUGUGGUAAAAUUUUUGCAGUGCAGUGUCAUUAUCUGGGUUACAGAUUUUUUUCUGCAUAGAUUCAGUGUUUCUCUCUCUUUGGGCAUAUAUUUCCGUGGGCAUUAUUUAUUAUAAAUUUUAAAGGCAAUUGGAUUGCCAUUAGUUUCUGCAUUUAGCUACUUGGGAAACUAAGUAUUUUUACCAAAAAUAAAAUGAAAUUUAUGGAUGAAAUUGAUCGAAAAGAUAGAUAAAAUUAAUUUAAGCAAAUUAAUUCUAGGAAGGUUAAUUAUUUUUAUCGCAUUUGUUACUUGAAUUUAAAAUAAUUUGAAUCUAAAAUAAUUCGAAUGAGUAACCUAAAAUGAUUUGAUCACAAAAAAUUCUUUGUUCAAAUUUAAAUGAUACAAAACUUAUAAUAACUUGGAAUAUAAAAUGACCUAACCCCGAACAAUCCGAACCUGAAAUAACUUGAACUUGAAAUUGGUCCGAAUCAAAAAUAUUGAAAAUUUAAAAACUCGAAUUGACUCAAUCCAAAUUGAUCCAAUUCAAAACCAUCUUAGCGUAACCAACUGAAAUGUAAUUCUAGGAAGGGUUCAUCAUUUCCAUCAUAUUGACAGUCAAUUUUGACUCAAAUUUUAAAAUUCGACCUGAUGAACUUGAAUUCAAACCCAAUACAACCCUAUUAGGCCUAAAAAGACAACAAUCCAAAUUUAAAUUGAUCAGAACUCAAAUUGACUCAAAUCCAAAAUGAACUAAAUGCAAAAUAACUUGAACCCAAAAUAAUCUGACCAAAUAACUCAAAAUGGUCUAAAUUUAAAAUGAUAAAACCCAACAUGAUCUAAACCGAAAAAAACCUUGUCUCAAACCUGAAUGACUCGAACCUAAAUUAACUCAAACUUAAACAACUUGAACCUGAAAUAAUCUAAACCUAAAUUUGACCUGAAUCAAUAUAACCUAAAAAUUUUAAAACUCAAAUUAACUCAAUCCAAAAACAACUUAGAUUUCACCAAUGGUCUGCUCUAAUCAAAUUGCAUUAUAUAUAUUUAUGAUAUAGAAUGCUACAUUCUUUUUUCUAAUAAAGUGAUAUAUACCUCACUUAUUCAGGUGUGCAGGACAUUAAUUUCAUUAUUAUACCAUUUUACUUGCGUUUGGGUAUUUAUUUACAUUUGAAUUGAUUAUCUUCUUCAUGAUCGAAAAGUUUUGAGAAGAGAAAUAAAAGAAAAAGAAUUAAUAAAAGCGAAAAUAUAUUAAAUAAAAAAUGUUGGGUGGAGAGAAAAUAUAUCAAAUGUGCUUUCAAUUUAACCCACGAAAACCAAAGACUACCCCUCUUUCCUUUUUUGCAGUUAAGACAUUCUUUGGUAUUAUCUCAUAGGGAUUUGUGAAUCUUUUAUGAAUAUAAAUGCUUCACCACAAAAUAAAAUAAUUAAAUCACAAGAUAUAGGAUUUUAUUUUAAAUGAUAGUUUAUAAUUUAUAAAUCUUAUAGUAGGUUUUGACACAAUGUAUAGAAUUACUCAUAGUCUCUCCCUAACGCUUAAAUAGAAAGAUAAUACGCUUCAGCACACAUGAACCAACAUCCUCUUACAUUGACAAUAAUAUUAUUAAUAUUGUAGUCAGAACUAAAAUUCAAAUCUCAAUAAACAAAAUUUAAGAGAUGAAGAAAGGCUAACUUAUUAUUAUAUAAUUGAUUAAAAAUAAUUAAGGUUUUUUUGAAAUGGUAAAAUUAUUUCUUUUUAAAAUUUAUUGUAUUAUAUGUUCAAAUUUUAUUAUAAUUGAGUUUUUAUGGAUUUUAUAUAAAAAUGUAAAAAUAUCCUCAUAAUAAUAAAAUGAUAUUUUAAUAAUUUUUCAACUAAAUCGAUGCUUGCUUAAUUCGUAACACUAAUUUAAUUAAUAAUUUAAUAGAGAGAAAAAUAAAACCCCCUCUAGCUAUAUUACCAACUAAAUCUAUCUAAUGUACGACAUUUAAACGUAAUAUUAGAUUGAUUUUUUUACUUUUUAAAUAUUUUGAAAAUUAGCUGAUUGAGUCUCAAUUCGAUUGUAUGAGCAUUAUUGUCAAUGUAGUAGGAUGUGGGUUCGAGCGUGUUAAAGUACAUUAUCCUCCUUUUUAUGGGUUGGGAAGAGACUAUGAGUAGUUUUAAGUAUUGUGUCAAAAAAGAACAGAUAUGAUCAGAAUAUAUAAUGAAAUACAUUAUUAAAAAUGAAGUUAAAUUGUUAGUACAUUUAAUAUUCAAUGAGACAGAGUUUUGAGUUCUACCUUCGAUUCAAUGGGUGCCAUGGAGAAGAAAUAUGUGAGGGGAAAUGUACUUAGCCAAAGAUGACCAAAGGAUUCACAAUGAUUGGAGUUUAGUCAAUUCAUUUUAAAAAUUAAUUUUUUUAAAAUUUCUAAAUUUAAAUUUAAGUUAUUUCUAUUACCAGUGCACCCUAGUGUUGGUGUUCAACUUUUAAGACCUGCAAAACUACAUAUGCAGCUAGCUAGCCAGCCUUCCAUUUAAUUGCCAAAAUGGAAGCCAAAGUAACAAACAUUCCCUUAAAUUCGGAUCAAAAUGCUAGAGUUUUUUUUUAAAAACCAUUUAUUUCCAUGUCAUUUUCUUGUUUUCUGAUCCCAACUGUGCCCUCCGUCACCUAAAGAUGAAAGGUCAAAUUGUGAUUUUGGUCCCUUUAUUAUAUAUACUCAAAUUUAAGAUGAGUAAAUUACAUUAGUAGUCACUCAACUAUGUUUCUUUUUUCUUUUUUGGUCACCCAACUAUGAAAAGUUAGAAAAUGGUCAUCCAACUAUUAAAAGUUACAAAUUGGUCACUCAACUAUUCAAUUUUGUCUUUUUUGGUCACCCAACUAUAUUGGAGUUUUGAGUGUCCAUUUUUGUGUUAGUCAAUUGGUGACCAAAAAGACAAAAUUGAAUAGUUGGGGUAAUCAUUUUGUAACUUUUCAUAGUUGGGUGAACAAAAAAGAAAAAAACAUAGUUAGUGACUACUAAUGUAGUUUACCCAUUUAAGAUUUAAUCCAUAUACUUUAAUUUGACAUAAUUAAAUCUCUUUACUUUUAUAAUGUUAUUAAUCAGAUCAAUAACUAACACGGUUUAUUAUUCUUGUUAGGAUAUUGACAUGAUUUUUUCUUAAAAACUCUCUUUUUGAACACUAAAGAAUCAAUGUCCACAUGAUGAAUUAGAAAAUGUACCUUUUAAGAAAUAAUCUAUGCCAGUAUUUUAUUUAAAAGGAUCAAAUUAUGCCAAAUUAAUUAUGAAGACUAACUCCCAAAUUAAAGCACUAUAGAGGGAUCAAAACAACAAUUUGACCAAAAUCAAAUUUACUUAUGAAUCCUUACCCUCUUUAAACUCAAAACACUACCACUGCAUGUGUAUUUUGUCUGUCAAACUAUCUAAUGGGGAGUAAUUAAUAUUCACACACAUAAAUAUAAAUAUUUGUGGUCCAUUCAAUUCUACAGAGAGGUGAUCAGUGACCCACAAAAACUCAUGGCCUGAAAUUGAAUUUGGCUGAGCUAGCCAUGUGAAGGCUUCAUGGCUUCAUGUGUAUCAUGUGGCACUGUUAAACAAGCACACAGGCCAUUUUUAUUUCCUUGAGUUCACUUAAAAUUUAGAUUUAAUUAAUUCAAUUUAAUUUAAUUUAAUUAUUAAAAUUAAAUAAUUUAAAUUUGAAAAUAACCUAAAAGCAAAAUAAUUCGAUUCAGAAUGAUCUAAACAAGUAAUCCGGAAUGAACUAACCGACCUAAAUAGAAAAAUUAACAUGACUAACUUAAUUUACCUAAAAUCAAAAUAACUCAACUCAAAAUGACCCAAACAAAUAAUUUGAAAUGAACUAACUCUUGAAUAACUUGAUUAGAAAAACCAACAUAGCUAACCCAAAUAACCUAAAACCAAAAUAACCUGAAUCAAUAAAAUUUAUUUUAAAAUCCGAAUCCCACCCACCCAACUUGUUAAUUUAUUUCUUAACAAACAGUAAUUAAUGACCACCAAACUAUAUAUGAAGCCUUCAAUUUAUCAACAUGGCCCUCGUUUCUACAACUUAGAGUUUAUAAAGAAACCCCAACAUGGAACAUUCCCCUCUGGAUUUGAAAUAAGCUGGAUGAAUUAGUUUGCAGGAAAAGUACACGAAUUUUACACACUUUAACUGUUUAAAAGAUAGAUAUAAGGGGCAAGAUAUAGAAUUAGUUUACUAACAAAGUACCAUAAGUUUUUUGUAAGCUGAUGAAGGCAUUAUUAGGUCAAUGAGAAUGAUGGUUAUAAUGAAGAUAAAUAAGGUUUAUGUAUAGAGAGAGUUUGCCAGACAUAAUAAAUAUAGCAUGUAUGUAUGUACGUUACUGAAAAAACAAGCUUUGCAGAGAGAUAAGGGAUUGGACCACCUUUCACUUCACUCCUAAAUUGGCUGCAAAUUGCAAUGCAUUGAGGUUCGAGGAAUAGUACUUUCAUGCACUUACAAGAUGGAUGGAGUAAGAAAAUUGUUUCAACGGAACCAGAAAUGAAUCAUGAAUUAUUGAAGGGCUAAAGUGCAAUUUACCAUUAUAUUAACAUGUACUUUCAUAAAAAACAAAUUAAGAGGCUUUGCUUUCAUCCCUGAUGCCAUAGUCAUAUACCCUUUACUCGAUCCUCUUUUUACCUUAUUUGAGUUAAAAUCUUUGUUUCCACCCUUCACUACACUUGUCCCUAGUCGAGUUUAUUAAAAGAGAAUUUCAAAAGGAGUAUUGCUUAGAACUAGUUUAGCAUUAUUGUUAGAAAAUGUUUAAGUGAAAAAAGUGGUUGACUGAACUAUAAAUGGAGUGGCAAAAGAACAUGCGCUCUAUUGGCUGAUUUGUUGUGUGGCGAGUUUGUGGUUGAUUUUGUUGGCGCAAAAUGGACGUGUUUAAGAACAAGGCGCGGUACCAUUCGAUGAGAUUAUUUUUCUGAUUAAACAUGGGUCUUUAUUUUGGAUUAAAGCUUCAUUGGUAACAGGAUCUAUUUGUGAGGCUACACAGUGGGAGGACCCCUAUGCUUGCAUUCCCUCUUCCUGUUCAAUUAGUAACUGAAUUAAUGCUUAGUGAUCACUUCUUGGAGUGAGAUUUCUCAAAUUUAAUGUAGAUGGUAUUUCGAGAGGAUCUUCAUAUCAAGUUGGUUGUGGUGGUGUUUUUAGAAAUGAAUUGGGUAAAUUGUUUUCUUUAUUUUCUCAGUCUUUUGGUUUCUAAGAUGUUGGUUCAGUUGAGUUAAUAUCAUUCGGAGAUCUUUAUCAAGAUAAAAUAGUUGAGUCAGAAUUAAAUUUUAUUGUUUUAUGAUCUUUUAAAUCACUUACUCGAUUUUGGAAAUAUGUCGAAACUUUCAAAGUCAUUGAUCAUUGUAUUAUAAUGAUUCUCGAUGUCAAAAUUAUUUAUGUCCUGUGGAAAGUUAAUAAUUGGAUAGAUUUUUUAACAAAUAUAAGCAUAAAUGGAAACACUAUCUUCAUAGUUUAGGAUUGAAUGUCAUCGUGGUGUUGUUGUAAUUGUAGAUAUUAUUUUAUCUAUUUCAUUUUAAUAAAUUUUCUUGAUUCAGCAAAAAAAAAAAAUUGAUGGUAAGGCUACCAAAAAGGUGAAGAACAAUUUUUAAAAAUUUAAAAUCAUUAAAAUAAAUAAAAAUUAUAUAAAAUUAUAUUUUUUUUUAAUUUUAAAAAAUUAAUUCAACGCUGAUGUGCCACCUAUGUGGCAAUUCACGUGUAUGCCACAUCAACAAAGUUAACAAAUGUUACCUUUUCUAUCAAUUUUGAGGUGAUUUGAUAAGAAAUGCAAAUUCAAGAGCUUAAAAAAUAAAAAAUUAAAUGAAUGACUUUUUUUUUUUUAUAAAACUGAAAAACCAAAUAGGUCAUUAUGUCAAAAUAACAAUAAUUAUAUAUUGGCUAAACUAUCAAAAUAGUCACUUUUGUUUACCUCAAAUUACAUUUUAGUCACUUAUGUUUGAAAUGUUACGUUUUAGUCACUUAUGUUAACGUGUUGUAACAUUUUAGUUACUGAGCCGUUAAUUAUUGUUAACGGUAUAAUGGUAAGUUGACGUGGCACGUUAAAUCAUCAUUUUAAACAAAAAUUUUAGGUUAAAUUCUACAAUUGAUCCCUAUAUUUUUUCAUUUUGAGCAAUUUAAUUUUUUUUCUUUUAUGUUCUUUUAACAUUCUUUUUUUUCCAUUCUCUUCUGCUUCUCCCUUUGUUUUCCUCCUUACUUCAUUUCUUUUAAUGUGGUUUUUCUAUAUUUUCCAUUUGUUAAAACUAGUCCACAAGCUCACCUUACUCAAAAAAAAUUAAAUUUUUCAAAAAAAAUAAAAAUAUAGGGACUAGUUUUAACAAAUGGAAAAUAUAAAAAAAACCACGUUAAAAGAAAUGAAGAAGGGAGGAAAAUAGAGGGAGAAGUAGGAAAGAAUGAAAAAUAAAGAAAAAAAAAAGAAAGUUAAAAAAACAUGAAAGAAGAAAAUUAAAUUGCUCAAAAUGAAAAAAUAUGGGGACCGACUGUAUAAAUUAACCUAAAUUUUUUGUUUGAAAUGAUGAUUUAACGUGCCAUUAGCUUACCGUUACACCGUUAACGGAAAUUAACAGCUCAAUAACUAAAAUGUUACAAUGCGCUAACAUAAGUGACUAAAACGUAGUAUUUCAAACAUAAGUGACUAAAAUGUAACCUGAGGUAAACAUAAGUGACUAUUUUAAUAGUUUACUCUAAUAUAUUUGUUGUGGUCAAAAUAAUUUACUCAUUUAUUUGGAUUUUUUUAUAAUAAAAAAUAAAAACCUUAUUAAUAUUAAAGAAAAUUUAGUUGGAGUGAACAAGCAAAAUAAUCAAUUAUCCCAUAAAUUCGACUCUAAAUUCUUUAAUGUGAUUGGUUACAUUAAUUGAGGCGUUGGAGAUCUAUUACAUACAAAAUGGUCCUCCUAUCACAGAAUAAAUCACCUCAUUAACAUCUCUACGCACCUAAAGAAGAGACAAAUAUUAAAACUGAGACUCGAGAUGCAGCAUUUCCACAAAAUCUUAAAUCUAUUUUCGAAUAAGAUCAAACUUAAAAUGUUGCAUCAACUUGACCUGAAUUCAACCCGACUCAUAUUAAAGUUAAUGAAUUUACUAUCCAAGAUAAUGAAUAUCAAAUUAAAACAUAUUAUAAUUUAGUCCAAUUUAUAAACAGUUCUAAUAUCGAGAAAUGGUGAUGAUGAGUGCAUGGGGCUCAUAUUCCUAUGUCCAACAAAGUCAGUAAUCAUUGCCUUUUUCUUCUUAUCUUCAACUGCAUGGGAAGCCACUUCUGUCUGGUCUGGUCCUCCCCUUUAACAAUCCCUGUCAUGUUUAUUAUAGUACGGUCACUAUUUUAUAUAUAAACACUAUCUCAGUUUACUUAGAUUUCUCAUACGUUAAAUUCAGAAUCCGAAAUGGUUGAAAUUUAUAAUAAUUCGAUGAAUCAAAACAAUUUGAAACGAAAUAAUUCAAACUAUAAAUAAUUAUACGUUUGGUAUUAACGUUCAUUUAAGCUUAUCAAAUAAGUGGGUUGGAUUGAUAUUUCAAUUUAGAUCAGUUUAAAAUUUAAUUCAUUCGAGUUUUAGGAUCAACUUUUUUGGACGAGUCAUUGCAUAUUUAGAUUAUUUCAAAUUUUGAUAAUUUUAUAUUUAGAUCAGUUUAAGUUUGGAUCUGUUCAAAUUUAAGUUGGAUGAGUUAAAGUUAUUGAAUUUUCAUGAUCAAAUCAAGUCGGAAUAUGAUUCAUAGAAUAGUUUACCAAUAUAGCCAUAUUUAAGUUAUUCGAGAAUUUAGGCCCAUGUCUUUCAACCGGGCAAAAGCAUUAAUAGGCUCAUGAAGGCUUCAUUUAGGCCCAUUGCUUGCUUGAGUCCAACCCUACUUGCAUGUUAAUAUAUAUGAUGAAUAGAAAAUGGUGUUUCUAGGAAAAGGUCGUGACAUGUUAAUUAGAAUAGUUACGGGCAUUACUUGUUUGAACAUUAUAAAAAGUUGUUGAAAUUAGUUUGGAUAGGUUGGAUCAUGAACAGAUAGUUAUAUAGGUCCAAAGCAAUGUAAACAACCUAUUAACUCGUAAGUCGGUGUGAAUUCAAGUUAAAAAAGAGCAAUUGAAUUAGUAUGCAUAACUCCAUAAACCCUUGAAGUGGAGAAUAAUACACCCUUAAGCAUGUUCAGACUCAUUUUCUCUUACAUGUUUCAAUACCAAUAAUGUCAUCCGAGUUAAAAAUAUAAGAUAAAUUUGACAAAAGUAUCAUGGAGGCCCCUAUAUUAAGAGUUUAAUUACAUUUUGUCCAUUUACUCAAAAAGGGUAAAUUAGUAAUUAUAUAUUAGAUCAAAAAGCAAAUUGGUCAUUUUUGUUAAAAAUUUCAUCCAUUUAUACGGUUAAAAAUUGAAGUGGCUAACAUAUAACCAGGUAGUUACACUUGCCAUGCCACUGUACCUCAUGCUAGUAAUUUUUAAUAGAAUGAUUAGUUUGCUCUUUGAUCUAAUGUAUAAGGAUUAAUUUGUCAACUUUGAGUAGAGUGGUUAAAAUGCAAUCUGACUCAGUGGUAAAUGUACUAUGGAGGCCCAUGCACUAAGAGUCGGAUUACAUUUUGCCCACUAUACUAAAAAAAUGAGUAAUUUAGUUUCUAUAUGUUAAAUAAAAAAGUAAAUUGGUCAUUUCUAUUAAAAAUUUCAUCCAUUUCUAUUGUGUACCUCAUGCUAACUGAAUAACUUGACAACUAUACAUGGUAUGUCACAUGUACCUCAUGUUGACAUAUAGGAAUUAACUUUUAACAAUAAAAAUAGAUGCAAAUUUUAAUAGAAUGAUUAAUUUACUGUCUGAUCUAAUGUAUAGUGACUAAUUUGGCCAUUUUUUUAGUAUAGGAGACGAAAUGCAACCUGAUUCCUAAUACAAGGGCCUCAAUAUACUUUUACCACAUAAAUUUAUACCAAACUAUAGAACUAAAUUUCAAAUUCGAAUAUAGUAAACGGACCAAAACCAAAAUUUAACCUUUUAUACUUGUCCUUUUUAUGCCAAACGUGGGACGAUUACCUUGCAAAACGCAAACUCUCCCCUGUUUCGUCCUAAGAACCUCUCUCCAAUGGCAACUUCAAACUUGAAGCAAACACUAGGCGAUCUAAACAAGGAAUCCUUCAUCUCACUGCUAACCAAAAUCAUAGGUGAAUCCAAGUUCUUACAAAACAACCCACCAGAACUAAUCCCGGAAGAAGACAGGGUAAUCAAACAUGUACUGGAUUGUCUGCUCCCUUACAGCACCACAACCGGUGGUCCUUUGAUCGUUAACCAUGUCACUUAUUUCCCUGGUAGAGGCAAUCUUAUUGUGGAAUAUCCUGGGACUCAACCCGGCAAGAUCUUGUCUUUUGUUGGUAUGCAUAUGGAUGUUGUCACCGCUAACCCCAAUGAUUGGGUACUCCUCUUUUAUCCUUUCAGUAUUUUUAUAGAUUUUGAUUUUGGGUUUCAUUUUUCUUCAUCAUUCAAAACUUGGGUUCUUGUUUAAAUGUUUGAAUGUUUGAGUUUUAGGGUCAUAUUUAAUUUCUGGGUUUGGUUUGUAAUGUUAUGUAAUUGUAAUUGUGUUGUUUAAGGAUUUGGGUGUGUUUUGAUUUUGAUUAAUACUAUGGAUUGUGGCUUGAAUUAGCUUUUUGCAGCACUUAUUUCUGUAUAUAUGUGCUCGGGAUGAAGCUAAUUCAGCACUUUAUAAUAUAUAUAUAUAUUUAUUUAUGCUUGGGGUGAAGUUAAUUUUGCUUAAUUUCAAGUGAUUUACAGUUUUCAUACAAUAGGAGCUAUGGGUUUCGGCUUGAAUUAGCGUUUUGCAGCACUUAUAUAGGUAAGAGUACCAUGGAGGCUUUUUUGAGUCGGAUUACAUUUUACCCCUUCAACUCAAAAAAUAGUCAAAUUAGUCCUUAUACACUUUAGAUCAAAGAGAAAAAGGGUCUUUCUGUUAAAAAUUUCAUCCAUUUCUGUUGUUAAAAACUAGUCCUGAACGCCAAUUUAAGGUACACAUGGCACACUACAUGUCAGUUGUUAGUUAUAUUGUCAGCUUAUAAAUGGAUGAAAUUUCUAACCAGACCAAUUUGCUCUUCAAUCUUAUGUAUAAGGACUAAUUUGCCCAUUAUUUAAGUAGAUGGAGCAAAAUGUAAUCUGACUCCUAGUAUAGGAGCUUUAAUGGUACUUUUACCCACUUAUAUAUUUAUGUGUGUAUAUAUAUUGUUUGGAUGAAGUUAAUUUUGUUUAAUUUCAAGUGAUUUAUAGUUUUCAUCCAGUAGGAACUAUGAUAUUGUGUCUUGGAUAAUUUUUGCUGAAUUUUUUAAUCUUAGAAUGUAAAGUCGAUAAUGGGUUUUUUAUAGGAUUUUGAUCCUUUCUCGUUGAGCAUCGAUGGCGAUAAGCUUCGUGGCCGUGGAACUACUGAUUGUUUGGGACAUGUUGCACUUGUGACUGAACUAAUGAAGAGACUUGCUGAGACAAAACCGAAGCUAGAAUCGACUGUCGUUGCAGUUUUUAUAGCUAAUGAAGAGAACUCGGCAAUAACUGGAGUUGGUGUUGAUGCUUUAGUGAAGGAUGGUUUGCUUGAUAAACUGAAGGGAGGCCCACUGUGCGUAGUUUUCAUAUUAGUAGAUUGAAACAUAUUCCAGAUGGAUAAUGCUUAUUGUUUUUUGUCAUUUUUCAUGUACUGAAUCUUUUGAUUUUGCAGUUUCUGGAUUGAUACAGCUGAUAAACAACCUUGCAUUGGUACCGGUGGUAUGAUACCAUGGAAACUUCAAGUGACGGGGAAGCUUUUUCACAGUGGUUUACCGCACAAGGUAUACAAUAUAAACAAAUAGAAAUCCUAACUAUUCAUGUUUUUUGAUUCUCGAUGUACUUGUUAACUUCAAAGAUUUUCUUUAUCUAUAGGCUAUAAAUGCAUUGGAGCUCGGCAUGGAAGCACUUAAAGAAAUUCAGCUACGGUUUUAUAAAGACUUCCCACCCCAUCCGGAUGAGCAAGUAUAUGGAUUUGCUACACCAUCAACCAUGAAACCAACGCAAUGGAAUUGUAAGUUUUAAACUUUAGAUGAGCUAGUUAUAGUAAAAGUAUUAUAGAGGCCUUUUAACUAGGAGUCAAAUUGCAUUUUGUGCCUUUUACUCAAAAAAUGAGCAAAUUAGUCCCUCUAUAUUUAGAUCAAAGAGCAAAUUGGUCAUUUCUGUUAAAAAAUUCAUCCAUUUGUAUUUUAAAAAACUGACUUGACUGAUAGAACAACCUGGUAGUUACACGUACCUCAUUCUGACAUACAUGGACUAGUUUUUAAUAGUAAAAAGGAUGGAACUUCAAACAAAAAGACCAAUUUGCUCUUUGAUCUAAUGUAAAGGGGAUAAUGUUCCCAUUUUUUGAGUAGAAGGGUCAAAAUGCAAUUAGACUCCUAGUAAAAGGGCUUCUUUGAUACUUAUACCCCUAGUUAUUCUCGAGAGUAGAGGUUGUUCAUCAAUGAAAUUCUUCUUACCUGCAGAUCCAGGUGGUGGAAUCAAUCAAAUACCAGGAGAGUGUACAAUAUCGGGAGAUGUCAGGUUUAUCCUAUUUCCAGAAUGUUUAUCAAGUCUCUUAACAUGUAUUCUUACUAAGACUCUUUUUCUCGGUUUGUAGGUUAACUCCUUUCUACAAGUAAGUAACCUUCGAAUUCGAUCACAUCUUUUACACCUUUCAAGUUAUUUACCGGUGGAAGAUUAUCAUUCCAUUUCCGAACAAAUUUGCUAGUCCCAAUUUUCUAUCUCAGUGUAAAAGAUGUAAUGAGUAAGCUUCAAGAAUACGUAGAUUACAUAAACGAAAAUCUAAACAAGCUAGACACACGGGGUCCGGUUUCAAAAUAUAUCCUCCAUGACGAAAACCUUAGAGGAAGGUAUGCCCUCUUUCUGGUUUUUGUGCUAAUUUUUCUCAUCUAUAGUUCUAUAGGUUUUUUCGAGUUUUACGGCAUAUUCUCUUUACAGCCUUACUUUGACUUUCGACGAGGCAACGUCCGGUGUUGCUUGUGAUCUCAAUUCUCGUGGAUUCCAUGUAUUGUGCAAAGCAACUGAAGAGGCUGUUGGACAUGUGAAACCUUACUCAAUUACCGGAAGUUUGCCACUCAUUCGGGAGCUACAAGUAUGAUAUAUCCAUGAACAUAUUAGUAGUUCCUGGCCUUCUAUUAAACCAUCAUUAGCUAAUCGUUUGUUGCUCAUUUUGUCAGGAUGAAGGUUUUGAUGUUCAAACUGCUGGCUACGGUAUGAGAACAUAUUGUGUAUUUCAUAACCACAUUGUGUAUUUUCGGUUUAAGUUAUUAAAAUCUACCGUAGAUAGUGAGAGCAUUUAUGGUAUAUUGAGGGUUAUAAACUAGUUGACCGAUCCUGUACUAUAUGCUAGAUAUCAAAUUAGUCCUUUUACCAUAAAAGUGAACAAAAUUUUGAACAUUAGCAGGGACGAAGGCAGGCAUUGACCCUGGUCCUCCCCUUAAUUUUUUAUGAAAUUAUUUGUUAGUAUAAUGGCCCAUUUGCACUUUGGCCCCCAAUAAUUUAUGAUUUGUCCCUGAACAUUAGCAGGGAUGAAGGCAAGUGUGCUUUCCCCCCCAACCCCAAUAAAAAAUGGUAGAUUUUCCAUUUAGCCUCCUAAAUUUUAUGAAAUUAUAUGUUAGUAUAAUGGUACAAAUACACUUUGGCCCUCCAAUAAUUCAUGAUUCAUCGCUGACCCUCCUAAAGCAAUUUUCUAGUUUCGUUCCUGAACUAGUAUAUGUUCUUGCAUUGUUCCAUUUCUGACUUUUUGCCAGAUUCAACGAAAUAAAACCGUUAGAAUCUUGCUUCAUACUUGUUUAUGGUGUUUUACCAUGAGAACAUUGUUUACGAUGUUUCAUGCUCUGGUAUAUGCACAGGUUUAAUGGCCACGUACCACGCCAAGAACGAGUACUGCCUUCUUUCCGAUAUGUGCCAAGGUUAUCACGUAUUUACCGGCAUCAUCGCUCAGCUAGAGGAUUGAAAGAUGACAAUAGAUUAGAUAUGAACUUGCAUAAUAGUUUUCUCAUCAAUAAUAAUGACAUUUGAACUGUUUGUAUGAAUAUGACCAUAUCAUUCAGGUUCCUACUGCACAAAAUUUAUUGUUAGUUUGUUAAAUGUGGUUUUAUUUAUUUAGGGCUGUUUGUUGAUGCAAAUUGUAGGUAGGAAAAUGGGUAAAUUAUGGUUUCGGUCCUUCUAUUACGUUCAAUAUUAAGAUUUAGUCCGAGCGUUUUAAUUUGAUAUAAUUUAGUUAAUCUUAGCAGGUAGCACCAUGGAUUGUUUCAUAAAUAAUUCAUCAUGUUCUUUUUGGUAAUUUUGGUACUUUUAUUAAUGGAUUUUCGUUAAAUUUGAAUAUGUGGAGUUGUGAUUUAAAAAUUUAAAGGUCAAUUAAUAAUAUAUAUAUAUAUAUAUAUUCAAAUCGGAGUUUUUAGAGAUAAGAGAUAAAAUUUUUGAAAUUAAAAAUAAGGGACUAAAUUUUAGAAGUUCCAGGAAUACAAGUGCUGAGAGCAUAAUAAACCUCAUAAGUAUUAAUUAUAAAUUAUUGUAUUGUUUACAAACUUAAACACAUAUCCUCUUUCACCAUUACUUUUAUAUAUAUAUAUAAAGCUAAAUUUUGAUUAGGUUAUAUCAUGCUUAAAUUGUGAUUUAGAUUUUACACAUUUUAUCAUUUUAGGUUAAAUAAUUUUCAUUUCGGGUUUAGAUUAUUUUAAGCUCGUAUCAUUCAGGUUUGAUGUUAAGAUUUUUUAGGUUUGAAUCAUUUUAAGUUUGUAUCAAUUUAAAUUCAAAUCGUUUCGAGUUAGGAUCAAUUUGGAUUCAGAUUAAAUGUGUAUUUAAUUGUUAACUUUAUGUAAUCAAAUCAAUUCGACUUGAUUUUAAAUUCCAAUUAGAAUUAACAUAUAUAGUUAUCAGAAAUUGAGAAAGUAGGUAGUAGGAAGUAAUGUUUCGGAACCCGAAUUGGGAUUAGUUUGGAUUCAAAUUGAACAAGUUUUUAAUCAUUAACUUUAUAGAAUCCAAUCAGUUUAAUCCAAUUUUAACAUUCCAAUUAGAAUCAAUAAAUAUAGUUAUCAAAAAGUAGGCAGUAAGAAACAAUGUUUUCGGAAACCCCGAGUUGGGAUCGGUUUAAAUUCAAAUUGAACAAAUUUUUAAUUGUUAACUUUAUAUAAUCAAAUCAAUUUAUCCAACUUUAAAUUCCAAUUAUAAUUAACAAAUUUAUCAAAAAGUAGGCAACAUGAAGCAAUGUUUUUGGAACUCAAGUUAGGAUAAUUUAAAUUUAAAUUGAACAAGUUUUUAAUUUAACUUUAUAUAAUCAAAUUAAUUCAAUCAAUUUUUAAAUUUUAAUUAGAAUUAACAAAUAUAGUUAUUAAAAAUGAGGCAGCAAGAAGCAAUGUUUUCGAAACUCGGGGUGAGUUUGAAUUUAAAUUAAACAAUAUAAUCAAUUCAAUUCAAUUCAAUUUUUAAAUUCUAAUUAAAGUUAUCAAAUAUAGUUAUCAAGAAGUAACUUUUUCAAAAUUGAAUCAAUAAUCUGAUUUAGCUGAUUUUUCAAUUCGAUUCAAUUGAAUCGUACCAAUUCUCAAAUCAAUCCAUUUUUUACUUUGUUGUAGAUAUACUAACCAUUUUGUAUCCAACCUGUUUGGGUUUUGAAAACAAUAGCACGAAAAGACAAAUGCGAAUCCCAUGGGCUUACAAGGCUCAUAACAUUGCAACGUCAGCCAUCAUUUCCCCCUAUAAUAUGGGAGAGAACCAACCUCUCUUUUAUGUUAUCAUCACCUAUAUACGUGUGUCCUACUGUAUAGUGGGUACCGAGUCACCAUUCACCAACCACUCACUGUGUUACUAUCAGCCAAAAACAACCCAAAUAGAACAACACUGGGGAAGUUCUUAGCCUCUGCUUGCAAUCCUCAACUCUGUCCACAUCUCCCAAAAACCAAACAAUCCCAUCUCAACCACAAAAAUCUCCUGUUUCUUUGUGUGAAAUCCACUCUUUCUCCUUCAAAUUCCCCCUUUAACCCAACUGCUCUCUUGUGGCUCUCAAUCCUUAAUAGCCUCAAAAAAAAAAAAAAAGGUACUUUGAGUGAAUUUUACAGUUCUUUUCUGGGAUCUGAUUAAUGGGUUUUCUUUUUUAAUCAGAUUUCGGCACUUGGAUUGGUAUUUAACACUCUACUGGAUUUGAUUCAGCUUCAUUUUAUUGCAUUGUUCAAGGUAAGACGGUUUCAUAGUUAUCUGGUUUUCAUUUUGAAGCAUUGUAAUUGAGUUUCAAUUGCCAUUUUACUUGUGUAGAUGGGUGAUGUAGCUAAGGAUUUAACAUCUGGAACUGUUGGAGGAGCAGCACAAUUGAUUGUUGGGCAUCCAUUUGAUACUAUUAAGGUUAAGCUUCAGAGUCAACCUGUUCCGCUUCCUGGUCAACCACCUAAAUAUGCUGGUGCUAUGGAUGCUGUUAAGCAGACUUUAGCUGCUGAAGGACCAAGGGGUUUGUAUAAAGGUAUGGGAGCUCCAUUGGCUACCGUGGCUGCUUUCAAUGCUCUCUUGUUUACAGUGAGAGGACAAAUGGAGUCAUUUUUGAGAUCAGAAUCUGGUGUACCACUCACUGUUAACCAACAAGUCAUUGCUGGUGCUGGCGCUGGUGUUGCUGUUUCAUUCUUAGCUUGUCCCACUGAGUUGAUCAAAUGCAGGUCAGGUUUAUGGCUUUUCAUAUCUAUUUUCGGGUUAAUUGCAUUAGACGUCUUUAAAUUAUGAUCGAACUCUAAAUUGGUUCAUAAACUUUGAAAGUUUUGAUUGAGUCCUCUUACUACUAGAAUUGUAUCAAUUAGCUUUGGAGAUUAAAUGCUAGGUCAAAUCCAACCUACAUAGCGGCAAAGUCAGGAAAUUUUUUGGAGGAGCUGAAAUUAAUUUUUUUUUUUGUGAGAGUUAAAAUGUAAAAUUUUCAUUGUAAGCUUAAAACUUAAUAAAAUUUAAAAAGAUUAAAUCACAAUUUUAUCAUUUUAUGGGGCUAAAAUAUAAUUUUACAAUAUAUUAAUUUAUAAAAUUGAAUAUUAGUGGAAUUAAAGUGCAAAUUAUCUAUUUUAAGGGGACUAGGCCCCUGCUUACCCUUCUAGUGCCCUUGAAUAUAGAGUAUAUUUAAAACAUGUGGAUCAAAUUAUAAAUAUUUAUAUACCUAUCGCAUAAAUGAUUUGUAUCUAAGGUAAUAAAGAAAAUAACCUUUCUAAAUUGUAAUAACACUGUUCAGUUUUUUAAACACAUCAAACAUACUGUUGGUACAAGUGUUUUAAACAUGCUCCAUGUUAGGGGAAAAGGCCUAAAUGGGAUAAUUGCGCUUUAGACCCCCUCCCAAAAUAUACAAACUUACAAGUUAAUACAUGGUAAAUUAUAGUUUGGCCACCAAAAAAUAAUAAAAUUUUGAUUUAGUCCUAAAAUCUAUAAAGAUGCCAACCAAUACGGUGGUGAAAUUGCAUUUUAACUAUUAUAAAAAUACAUAACUCAAUCCCGACCCAAAAUAAAGUUUUGGCUUCGCUCCUGCUCCAUAUCAGAUCCAAACUAGAAUUCAACACCUAAACUGGAUCUAACUAAUACAAUAUUGAUAUAUUGACGACUCAAUUAGAAGGUUUUCAACAUGCAUGAGAUAACUAUUUCCUCAUAUUAACUUUGGGGUCUUAUAUGUUGUAACCAGAUUACAAGCCCAGAGUGCAUUAGCGGUUGAUGCUGGCUCAGCUGGUGUAGCAGUGAAAUAUGGUGGACCAAUGGAUGUAGCCAAGCAAGUGCUUAGGUCCGAAGGUGGUGCAAGGGGUCUCUUCAAAGGCUUGGUUCCCACCUUAGCUCGUGAGGUUCCUGGUAAUGCUGCUAUGUUCGGUGUCUACGAAGCAUUGAAACAAUACAUGGCCGGAGGGACCGACACUUCGAAAUUAGGACGAGGGUCAUUGAUCGUGGCAGGAGGCUUAGCCGGAGCUUCAUUUUGGUCAUCGGUUUACCCAACCGAUGUUGUCAAGAGUGUGCUCCAAGUAGAUGAUUAUAAAAAUCCUAAGUACAAGGGGUCUAUGCAUGCAUUUAGGUCUAUAUUAGCUUCAGAAGGGGUGAAAGGGCUUUAUAAAGGGUUUGGACCUGCCAUGGCAAGAAGUAUCCCUGCUAAUGCAGCUUGUUUCUUGGCAUAUGAAGUGACAAGGUCUAGUUUGGGCUAAUUUAAUCAGUUGUUGUUUCUUUGAUUUGGUCACCAACAGUUUUUGCUUUUGUCAAAAGCCUUAAUGAAUUUGAUGAUGCUUGAAAUGGAAAGGUGGUCAUAGGUUCUUUGUAAGUUAUUUGAGUUCGGCUCAAAAAAACUUUAAAUUCGAUUUGGUAAUUAUCAAGUAGAGUUCGAGAUCGAGCAACUCAAACUACCAAUUGAGAUAAAUUCAAGAACCAUAAUACUUGAUUCAAACGGCUCAUGAAUUUAAUUGAACUUUUCAUUUUAAUAUAUUUUUAUAUUCUAAAAUUAUGUUUUUAUCUUUAUUAUAUAAAAAGAGCUUAAGUAUGAAUUAAUUUAAUCGAGAUUGGAUUUGAACUAAAGUAUGAAAAUUUAUAAAUGAACUUAAUUGAGCUCGAACUAAAAUAGCUUAAUUAUGUCUUGAAUUAAGCUCAAACUACCACUAUUCAAAUUCGAUUUUCUACUCAAUUAUACUCCGUACAUUUAAGUAAUAUCUCACAAGGGACUCAGCACAUGCUUAGAAUUUUUCAAAAAUUUAAUUAAUUAAUUAAUUAUUCAAAUUAAAUGUUUAUAAUUGAAUUGAUUUGAAUUUUAAGCUUUUGAUUUUUACUUUUUCACCUAAUUUUCCUUCAUAUAGAUGAUUGAAUGUAUAAUUAAAUUUAAUCAAAUCAAUACAUCAAUUAAACCGAUGAAUGGAGUCAAAUUUAGGAACAUUUGAGAUUCUCUUAAAGGGGUGGAAAAGGAAUGCAUGUUAAAUCAACUAUGUAAAAGUAUUUGAUGCCAUUUCAAGCAUGGAUUUCGUCACAAAGCCAUUGGUAUAAUUGCGGCUUAUUCUCAUAUUUAUUUGGGGAUUUUGACAAAAGUGGUAGUGGGGAUGAAUAGAAAUUUUGGAUACUUUGAUUCCCCUUUUUAUAUAUUGUUGGCAUAAGAUUAAAUUUAAUUAAAGCAAUAGAUUCAAGGCAAUUUGGGUCUUAAUUGCUUAUUUUAUAAUAAUUAAAAUAUAAUUUUAUCCGUGUAUUAACUUAUAUAUCUUUAUGAUUUUCAAAUGACUAAAUUGAAAUUUUAAUUUUAAUUUUUUUUUUGCAUUUACCUAAUUCCUCUUUCACUCUCUCCCCCUCCCAUCUCUUGCGGUCCCUGCUUAGGGCCGAGCAAGAAAAAUCGGUCUAAAUUAAGGUGUUUGAACAGUUUAUGAAAUAUGAGUUUAAAAAUCACAAUUAUUCAAAAUUGAACUAAAAUUUAUUUUUUAUUUAUCAUAUAAUUAAUUUUAAUUUUUAUAAUAUAUAUAUAUAUGAUAUUAUUUUAGCAUCAUGUUCCAAUCUUCUAAAGUCAUAUGGCCCUUUCUCUACAUGUGAUAUGUUUACAUAUUAAUAGAAAUUUAUAUUUAUUCAUAUUAUUUUUUUAAGACUAUAUCUUGUUUCCGUUUGAAAACAAAUACUAGAUAGCUAAUUUAAGUUAGCUUUUAGUUUAGCUUUCCCUUUUAGUAAUAUUAUUAUAGGUUUUGAUCAUAUUUGUUUUCUUAAUACAAUGUCUAGAACUACAUAUCGCUCCUUCUAACCUAUAAAUAGGAGGAUAAUGCACUUCAACGUACUCGAACGUACAUCCUCCUACAUUGACAACAAUAUCCAUAAUAAUCGAAAUAAAACUCAAUUCACAUUCUAGCUUAUAAUUUAAAUUUACUUUUGUUGCCAAUCACCUAUAUGCUAAUUUUAAAUUAAUUUGGAACUAAUUUUGUCCCUUGGUUGCUAAUGACAUAUGUAGGUGUAUUUCUCUUUCCCCAUCACUAAUAAACAAAGAAAGAGACCUAACUUCUCUCAUGGGAAGUUGAACCAAGUCAAAAUAUUCACACAAACCACAAGCAAACAUAUAUAUAUAUACAUGUAUUCAAGAUUCAAUGAAUCCAAGUUUCAGAUCAAUAAAUUGAAAAUCAUUGAAAUAUCUUGAUUUAAAGUUUCAUGGUAUUAAUAUAAUAUAUAAUUAUUUUGAAUUGAUUUGAUUUGAGAUAUGAAUCUCAAAUUUUAACUAAAUCUAUUAAUAAUUAUAAAUUUCUAAUUUGACUUCCUCUAAAUAUAUUCAUAUUUUUAUUUUUAUUUUUAUUUUUAAAAAUAUAACUAUUUUUAUUUAAUAUUCAAUACUACUACAUAAGACCUUUAAAUAAUUUAAUAAAUAAAGACAAUAACAUUAAAACCCAAAUUAAAUAAAUCAAAAGAUAAAUAAAUUUUAAAAAAUAAAUAAUAACAACAUAUUUUUUUUAAAUAUCAAAACUAUACCUAUUAAUAAAAAAAACUGAAAAUAUAAUGUAAUAAAUAUAAAUCAGACUAAUGCAACAUUUUUCUUUAACAAACAAUAACAACAAUUAUAAAUAUAAUCGCAGUAGUAAUUACGGUGAAUAUAAUUUCAAUAACUAUAACUAUAAUUAACUACUAUAAUAUCGAAUAAAAUGCAUAAUCAAAUUAAUACUUAAAUUUAACAAAAAUAAAUUUAUAUAUAAUUUUUGGUUGAACAUAAGCUUAGAAUAUUAAGCGAACAUCAGUCUUAAUGAAAAUUAUCAGUUGCUACCAGCAACAGUCUAAUAUCUUCUUCAAGUCAGCAUCUCACAUAUUGCGAAGGAUCGUCCAGGAUAACCACAUGCUCAAUUAUGUCUCUAUUUGCCUUAGUUAUGCAAUUAACAACUUUAUUGGCAUUCCGCUGAAUAUGUCGAAAUUCAACUUCCCAAUUUUUGAAACAUGAAUUUGUCUAACUUCAACAACACUACUUACUGUAGCUAACCCGUUAUGAAUAGUUUCAAUCAACAUUGUGUUGUCACUUUUCAACUCAACACACCUGAAUCCUCUAGCCCAAGCCAAUUUCAAUCCUUCAAGAAUCGUUAUGACUUCAAUCUAGAAGAUAUCAUUCAUACCUAAUACCAUCUUGAAUCCUACCAACCAUCCUCCACUAGGUCCUUUCACUGCCCCUCUUACAUAUUAUUAAUUAACAAUAUUUACCCACCGAUUUAAUUAUUUUAACAAUGUUAUUAAUUUAAAUUUUAAAUAUUAAAAUGCUAAAGAGACAAAACAAAGUAAUAUUUUAAUUGAGAGCAUCAAUUAGAUUAUUUUUCAGAUAUAAUUGGAGUGAAAUGAGAUCAUGCCCAAACAUUAUUAAAGUUAAAAUAUAAUAUUAAAUUAUUUGUGGAUGUAUACAAACUAUGAAGGGAAUUGGUUUUCUUAGCUGGAUUAGGGUGGAAUGAUAUGUCUGGUGGGAGAAUAUAAAACCCCUUUUUUAAUUUCAAUUUUAAUCAGUAAUUAUAUUUUUAAAAUAAUGAUUCGAAAUUAAGUUAAUUUGAGAAUAAGUGAAUAUCCAAUUAUUGAAUUUAUAUUCAAGUAAUUAUUCGAUUUGAUCAAAUAAAUUUAAGAAUUCGAAUUCAGAUGAAUUUGGUAAAUGAAUAAAUUUUAGUUUAAUUUAACUUUAGAAUAUAAUAUAAACUUUAUUUUAAAAAUAAUUUUUAAUUCUUUUAUUACUUUUUUGAGAAAGGAACUGCCCCCAGCUAAUUGAGAUUGUGGUCUAGAAAAAGCAAAAAUUGUUCAUGUCAUUAAAGAUGUGACUCUCUUUGAUAAUGUUGAUACGUAGAAGCCAACAAAGAAAAAUCAACUAAAGACCAUGAAAAUAUUAUAUAUUUAUUUAAUUUAAAAUAGAAAAUUAAUAAGAAUAAGCCUGGAACUGGAAAUUUGGCUUUUUGGCUUUUGAUUAAAUUAAUCAAAUAUGGAAAGAAAUUACAAAGGGUUGAUAUCUGUCCAUGUUGAUGUCUCUCUGGCUGUUUGCCUUUCCCAUUGUAUAUCUUUGUAAUCUUCUUUUUAGACUCACUCCAUUGAUAAUUUGAAUAUGGUCGAUUCAUAGAGUUUAAAUGCAUAAGAAUUUAAGUUAUGAAUAUGAUUUAUUUCAGUCUUUGAUCAUUUGUAAAUAUCCAUCAGGGGUACAGUAAAAAAAAUUUAGAUGAAACUAAGAUAUAAAUUUAUAAUAGAAUUUCACCGUUAUAUUAACUAAUAUAUAUUUAUAAUUUUUAAAGGAUUAAGUUAAAAUAUUAUUAUUUGUGGGGUUAAAGUAUGCAAUUUUCCAGUUGUUGGGAGGGUCAUACCCCUACCUACCCCUCCCAACAAUUAUUAUCAUUGUUUGUAAUUUCUGUCAAAGUUAAUCAUAUAUAAUAUUAUAUGAGGACAAUUUAAUCAAUAUGUCAAGUUGUCAAAUUUUAACAGAAAAUAUAACAAUGUUAACGGUUGUGAGAAAAAAUAAAAACAUGUUUGGUAACACCUUACCGCCUUGUGUAUAGCAUCGGCAGCCAUAUUCAUUGUUCGUGGUACAUGUCGAAUCUCCCCUUGCCAAUCCCUUGACAUCCAGUUAUGAACCUCCAAUGCUAAUCUCGACAAUCCCACCACUUCGACUCCAAGUAUUAGGUCUAUUGUUGUUUUACUAUCACUCUCAAUUAGUAGCCAACGUAACCCCUUCUUCCAAGCUGUUUCUAGCCCAUGAUCAACAAUUGCUCGAAAUUCUACGUCUAGGAUCGAGCUAACACCUAUGUAGCAGCCAUACCAUACCCAAAUACCUAAUCGCCUUGGUGACACUUACUAUUCCACCCAUCGUCGCACUUGCAGAUUGUAUGUCAACUCCUCCAUCCAUAUUAAAUUUAUACCACUCUAAAGAACUUCCUACCGUAUAGAUGCAAUCUACUGCAACUUAAACAACUUAGAGGCGACCCGCAUCACUACUUUAGACCAAAACAAACUAGACAUGACCACUUCAUCUUUACUAAAAAUUUGACCUAUGAAAAUAGCCGGAUUCCUUCUUUUCUAAAGUCUCCAUAAAGUAUUUACAAACACUAUUUCCAUAUACUAAAAUAGUGAAAAAGAAUAAAUUACUAUAUCUCAAUAUACUAAAAUAGUUAGCUUGGAAUUAUGAUGGGAAAUAAUUCUUGCGUAAAAAAGUAGUAUUAUGACAUAUAAAGUCCAUAUUCCAAUUUUUUUCAAAAACAAUGUCCAUUUUUCAAAGCCUUCAAUCUCACACAUUAUAUUUAUAUAUAAUAUAUAUUGAAAAUAAUCAAUCCCAAAAAUUUCAUAACCCAUGCGUAAUAAAUCAUCCAUUUCAUCUUGAUCUAUAUAUAUAGGAGAGCCUUUGAUUUUUGUUGAAUUUCAUAUUUUAAUUAAUCUAAUCAAUUUAGUGGGUUAAAUCAAAUUGGUUUAUACUUGAUUUUAUUAUGAAAUUUUUAUAUAUUAUAUAUCAUGUAUGAAUCUUAUUAGUUCUACUUUUUUUUAAUUUUUAUCCGUAUCAUAAAAAAUAUAUUUAUAUAUUUGUAGUAAUGAAGCUUUAAAUAAAUAUAUAUAUAUGCAUUAAAAGUAGGUUAAAUCAUUUAAUUAAAUUAUAAAAAUUUAUAAUCAAUAAUCGAUAUAAUAAUUUACUUUUAACUUCCAACAAAAUUAUCUUAUGAUAAUAUAUGAAAGCAAUUCAAGCAAAACUAAAUAAUUUUAUAUGAUAUUUACUUUUUACUCGUAAUCUAUUGAAUCCUUAAGUUAGAAGAAAAACACACUUAAAUGUGUUAGAAUCUAACUCCUUCAAAUUAAGGGAUAAUUGGCCGAAGAAUAGGUAAAGUUACCAUGUAGGUUUGUGGAGUUGAAUUAUAUUUUUCUCUUUAACUAAAAAAGUUAAAUUAAUUAUUAUACUGAGUAAAAGAUUGAAUCAAAAUCAAUGCAAAAAUGAUUGUUUCGGUCUCAUUUGAAAGAAAAGAAAAAAUUAAAAAUGAUUUUUGUUAUAUAGAAAUAUAUAAAAUGGACCGAUUAGAAAUACGUUGAUCUGUCAAGCAACCAACAUCAAAUACUCUGAGCCCAAACCCACCUGUCCCGUUCACCUCUUGGCCACCUCAUUCAUUUUUUUCCUUUUUCAAAAAUUAAAUUAAAUUAAUAAUUUAAUUUCAAUUUUCCAAUUUUACCCUCAUCUUUUUUCAUAAUCCCUUUCCCUUAUAAGCCCCCAAUAAACCCCCUCUUCUUCCUCUUAUCUUCCCUCCUCCUCCUUCCCUUCUGUUUCCCUCCCAUGGCUGAACCCGAAUCCGAACCCACCACCACCCACCACCUCACAAUCCCACCCGGUUUAACCCAAGACGAGUUCCAUGAGUUAACCCCGAGUAUAACUCAGUACCACACCUACACUUUAGGUCAAGGCAAAUGCUCUUCUUUAUUAGCUCAACGUAUCAACUCACCAAGCGACCUCGUUUGGUCGAUCGUCCGCCGUUUCGAUAAACCACAAACGUAUAAGCACUUCAUAAAAAGCUGUGCCGUCAAAGACAAUUUCCAAAUGGUCGUGGGUUGCACGCGUGACGUCAACGUGAUCUCCGGUUUACCGGCAGCCACAAGCACCGAACGUCUCGAUAUCUUAAACGAUAAUGAAAAGGUAACCGGGUUUAGCAUCAUCGGCGGUGAACAUAGGUUGACGAAUUACCGGUCGGUGACGACUGUACAUGGGUUUGAACGUGAUGGGAAGAUCUGGACUGUUGUUCUGGAAUCAUAUGUGGUUGAUGUACCUGAAGGGAAUACGGAAGAAGAUACACGGUUGUUUGCUGAUACGGUUGUGAGACUUAAUUUGCAGAAAUUGGCUACCGUCGCUGAAGGGUUGGCGCGUGAUGGCGAUUGUAAUAAAUCACAGGUGAUGUGAAAAUAAAUUUUAUAUAUAUGUGGGUAAGAAAUAAAUAUUGUCUCUUUUUCUUCUCUCUCUCUUUUUUUUUUUUUUAACUUUGAUCUUAAUUUGUUUUUGUGAAUUAGGGUUUAAUUAUGCUUCAGUCCCUGUACUUUUCAGACGUUUGGAAUUAAGUGCUUCUUCUUUUCUUUUAGUUACAAGAGUUUAAUCAUUGAUGAAGAUCCCAACAGGCUUAUGUUAAGCCUACGAAUCUUACUAAUCAUAUUCAGAUUGUAUUUUACUUCAUUUCAUUUACUAAAAAUGUAACAUUCCAAAAACCGGGUCAGAAGAAAGCCCGGCUUUGAAACCUCUCUCAUCUCUCGUCGAUUAUGAGUUUAGAUUUUGGAAAUUUUUAACAAAUGAAUUUAUUUGGUUCAGUAGUUAGUUAAGUGUUUUUAUUAUGUGUGUGAGGUUUUGGGUUCGAAUAUUAUCUCUUGAAAUUUUGUUAUUUUUUAUUAAAUCUUUAUUUUGGAUAUGUGGGUUAUAAGUUAAAUUCAGUCAACUGAUGAUAAGAAAUCAAUUUUAGAGUAAACUAUCCAAAUUUGGCUUAAACUUUUAAGCCGGGUUUAGGGUAUUAAAAAAAUAAAUAAAUUAAUCCUUUUGGCACCAUUAUUAAAAAUUGGGGUGUGACUAACAAAAUAAUUAAAGAAUUAAAUUUUAAAAGAUUAACGGGGUAGAGAUGUGGGGGCAGAAUUAGACUGUUAUAUUUUCUUUUAAUUUUUGCUUUACGAAAUUACGAGAAAACCCUUAUACGAAACUGUGGGUUACUUACUAUUCUUAUUAAGCUAUAAGAAUGUUUGAAUCAAUGAAUUUGUACGUAGAUGUUUUUCAUUAAGACAAAAGGUGUCUUAAUGUCAUAUAUGACUCAGCUCCCUCCAAUACGAUAUCGUUUUAUCGAAUAUGUUCCCAUUAAAAGGGCUCAAAGAAUCUAAUUUUGUUGAUCAUAUCUUUCAAAAAAAACACUAUUGUGUAUAUAUAUACACAUAUGCAUGUAACAUAUUCUAUAUAUGUUCUUAACUAUAUAUGAUAUGUACAAGUCAAUGGUUAGGGAUUAAAUUUUGAUGAUAUAUUUUUUGUUUUUGAUUUCGUAAAAAUCAGAUCACAUCGAUACAUUUUAACAGGGUCUUACUGUCAACUAUGAAGUAAUACAUAUCCUUGAUAUGAGUUGAUACAAACAUAAACCUAUUAAUCCAACUGAAAUACACAAAAUUUAUGAUCAAAAUGGUCGAUAUCAAGGGCAACAAUUGGGAAUAAGCAAUGAUGGGUGAGAGAAAAAAAGGCCCCUAGUCCCUCCAAUUCUAAAAACAAAAGGUACAAAAGCAAUCUGGUAGUCUAGUUGAACCAAAAGAAAUGGCUACAAAGCUGGGGGUGGAGCUAAAAAGCUAGUGAUCGGUUCAAUAGUGGUCCCCCGCUCCUAUAUAUAUAGCAAGGAAGAAGAGACCACUAAAACCACCAGUUGGAUCAGGUGUGUGGGUCUUCAGUUUUCUGCAUCAAGAAUCUAUAUGAGAAAAUAAAUUAGUACAAUGACAAAUAGGUUAGGUGAAUUAUGGUGGAAUUUCUUGGGAGACACCCAACAAAUAUAUAAAUAUAGAAAAAAAAAGGGAGUAGUUUUGGUAAAUCCAUAUAGCCCCCAUAUUCUAUUUUAAGCAAUAAAUGUUAAAAAAAAAGUGUGUUCCUUUUUCUAACUCAGUAUUUGAUUAAUUAGUGUUGAAUUUAAAUUUUAAAGAUAAUAUUAUCGAGAAAAAUGAUCACGAAGCUUGAAAUAUAGGGGCCCUGAACCUCUCCUACAUUUUUGUAAAAUUUCAAUUCAAUCUUUUUGAGUUUUUAAAAUUUUUAUUGCGAACUUAUAAUUAAUUCUAAUAAAUAGGAUAAAUUUGUGUUUUGCCUCCAAAAGUUUUUUUUUAAUUUGGUUUCUUUUAUAGAAUUUAUAAUUUUUUAUGAUAGAUUUAUUGACAUUUUUAGUUUUAUAUGGUAAAUUAAUACAAAGUAGUAACUAAAUAUUAAUUUAGUAAAAAAAGUACAAUAAUUGUAGUGUCUAAGUAUAAAUUAGCAUCUAAUAUUAAUUAGGUAAAAAUAAACUUAAAUAAUUACAAUUGGUCGGGGCCUAAUCUAUUUUAUAUAAAUACCUUGACCCCCUUUAUCAACAUUUCUGGCUUAACCCCUACUGAAAUGGUCAGUCUUCAUGGACCAUACAACAUACAUAAAAAAAUACAUUGAUUAUACAAAAAAAUUUAGUAUUCGAUCAAUUAGUGUUGGGUGUAAUGGUAAGAUAAAUUACACUCUUAGAAAGAAAAAUCAAGUUUAAACCUUGAAGAUGACAUUUUUGGGAGGGACCUCGAAAAAUUUAACCUUCAUAACUAAUAAAAUAAAAAUACCUUAAUCAUACAAAAAUAAAGCGUAACAUUUCAAAACUAGAAAGAUUUUCAUUAAAUUUGAAGCAGAGUAGCGUUAAAUUAUAUCAUUUUAAGAGGUAAGCUCUUUCAGUUUACUUUAGUUUCUGUUAAAAUUUAAGACCUUACUCAUUAUUUAUUUUAUAAUUAGAGGAGGAUAAUGAAUCAAACUGUUUGGGAUCGAACCAAGCUCUCAUGCCUGCAACAUAAUGCUCUUAAUAUUGGGUCAAAAAAUUAUUAACUAUUCCUAAUAUUUUUAAUCACUUGAUUUAACAGGUGUUGGUGUAAAAGGUUUCUUCUUUAUAUAGACAUUGAUCCUACAAUAUUAUUGACAACAAAUGAUAUGGAUCGACGGAUCACAAUCAUGCACAGUUUAUAAUUAUUACAACAGCUAUUAUCAGUGCCCCAAUUUUUUGAUGUCUUAUUGGUGGGUUUUUUGAUGCCUUAUUGGUGGGGUUAUCAUAGUUUAAAUUUUAAGUCGGCUCUUAUAUUAUUGGAUUGCAACUCAAAAGAUCAUACAUUUAUUAUGUUUUACUAUUAUUAUUACAUGUUGUUGCUCAUGAUUUAGUAUGUGUAAUGAAAAAAAAAAGAACAUGUUAGGUACAAUAUGGUGGGAUUUUCGUCAAUAAUGUAAAUGUUUUAACGAUCUACGAGGUUCGGGCACGUUUGGUUUCUUGAUGGAGCUAAGAUUUUUGUUUAAAGAAUGAAAUUUUAGGAUGGAAAGGAGAGUCCUAAGUGGUGAUUGCCAUAAAAUCCGAAUGAUAUGAGUUCGAUUUUACUCAAUUUGAUAGGAUAAAGUUUUUUUUUUAAAUCGAGUUUUGAAAUGAGUUUAAUUUUUUUCUUAGUUGUAUCAGAUUUAAUUCUUCAAUUAGUUUGAUUGGGUCAAAAUCGGAAUUAGAAUUGAGUCUAAGAAAAAUAUUUCCAAUCUAACUCUGAGAUAAUUGUUAUAUAUAACUUCAAUUUAAAAUAUGAUAAAAAUUUAUAUUAAUAUUUACUUUAGUAUAACUAUAUUUAAAAAUUUCUUGUUGUGGCUUAUUGAUUAAGUAUUUUUCUUCUCUAGGAAUAGCUUAGAUUCGAAUUAUCAUUGUACCAAAAAAGAUUAUACUUAAAAAAUAAAUAAUAGUAUUAUUAAAAAUUAUGACAUAUUGAGCCGUAUGGGCUAAUGAGGCGUGGGGAUCAUAUUGGAAUUGGGACCCAAAGGAAACUUGGGCGUUUAUUACUUGGACCGUAUUCGCGAUUUAUUUCCAUACCCGAACAAAUACAAAUUUGGAAGGUGUAAAUUCCGCACUUGUGGCUUCUAUGGGAUUUCUUAUAAUUUGGAUAUGCUAUUUUGGGGUCAAUCUAUUAGGAAUAGGUUUACAUAGUUAUGGUUCAUUUACAUUAAAUUAACAUCUAAUUGAAUUGAAUAAAGAGGCUAGGCCUAACAAAUACUAACAGAGGUAUACCUCUGAUUUUUCCAAUCGGAGUUUGGGGUAGAUAAAUUAAUAUUUGAUUCUGAAUUGAGUUGAGAUUAGAUUAUGCUGGGGGAGUACCAAGUCAAGGUCAGGGCUGGUAAAAGAAUCGCCUUCCCUGUUGCCAUCUCUAAUUGUAAGUUUUGGUAUAAUACUUAAAUUUCAAUUAAAUCUAGAAUCGAAUAAGAUCGUAUUUUUAAAUGAAAUUGUGAUUUUGAGAAGAAUAAAAAAUAAAUGUAGUUAAUUUUAUUUUUCUUCAAAAAUACAUAUGAUAAUGAUAUAGAAGGUUUGAAAUUUUAAAUUAAUUUUCAAAAUUAUAUUAAUAAUAAAAAUACAAAUUAUAAGUAAAAAGAAUAUCGAUAUUAGAUCCUAAUACGUAUUUCAAGUUUAACUAUGUCAUAUCUUUCCCAAUAGUGGCAUCAAUAAUUCACCUAAUAUUGUACGAGAACCGACCAAUAUUAUAUAUAGGCCAUAUUUUUUUUCCUUAUAUGUAUUAUAGUUAUUUGUUUAAUUUUUUAAUACUUAAAUCACGACUUAUGUCUUGACUUGAAUGGAACGGUGAUUAAAACUCUAGUUAGCCGCUUAUUUAACAUGGAUUCAAACUAUAUUACCCUAUCCCCUACCUCUAAUGUUAUACGACGACUUAUAGGCAUGUUAUUUUAUAUAUUUAGAAAGUAGUUCUAUUUUUAUCUCUAAAUGGAUGAUUCUUGAAAUUUAAGAUUAAAUUAUUUAGCAAAAAAUAUUAUGGAAUUUUGGGUUUAAAUCUCAUCAUGCCGUAUAUAUUUUUUAGGAUUUUAUAUGAAAAAGAUAAAAAUAUCCUCAAAAUAAUAUUUAUUGAUUUGUUAAAAUAACAGUCUUUUAGUAAUUUAAGAACUGAGUUGGGACUUAAUUAAAGAGCGACAUAAACCCAAUCAAACUCUUUAUAUAAAGUAAGUAUAGAUUUAUUAUGUAUAUUAUUAUUUUUAUAUACUUCCUUUUAUAUGAGUGUAAGAUCAUAUAUGAUUCUUAAUCUUUGUUUUUUGACACAAUACCUAAAACUACUCAUAGUCUCUCCCCAACUCUUAAAUAAGAGAAUAAUACGUUUCAGCGUAGCCGAACCCAUGUUCUCUUGCACUGACAAUAAUAUCGAUACCAACUGGGUUAAGACUCAAUCGGCAUGUAUAUUAUUAUUUUACAGAGGUUUAAUUUAAAGAAUAUAAAAAUAUUGAUAAAUUUAAUAAUUGAGUCCCUUAAUUGGUGAUAUAAAAUUUUGUUACGCAUUUUAUAAUAAUAUAGAUGCAUAUUCUCAAGGUAGAUAUGAUCUAGAUGCAAAUUAUCUAUAUCCAUAUAUAGAUUUAGGGAUAUGUUUGUGGCAAAAAUAGAGAUAGAUCAGCGAGUAGUAUGGUGCUUAAAAAUCUUAUCCCCAAACUCCAACAUUCUUUAAUUAAUUGUCAGGUUAGGUAUAUGCCCUAUAAAGUAUUCAACUGAAAAUAAUUAUUAUAUAAUUAAAGCUUGCGUUGAAUGAAGUUUGUUCUUCAUUUAAUGUAUUUUAUUUUCAUUUCUCUGAUAAGGUUUAGGAUGGGUUUGGAUGGGCGAUUGAGUGCGGUGCGGUGCGUUUAGUUUACUUUUUGUCUCACGCUAUAGUAUUAUUACAGUAUCUAAUCUUACCGCCACCGCUGUUUUUACACUAACCGCAGGUAAACGCACCACCCAUCCAAACUCACCCUUAGUGUUUGAUGUAGAUGAGUAUGUCAAAAAUGGUGGUUAUCAAGCCUUCUGGUUGAAAUAUUGACUUUAAUGCUUUACUGAACAAAACGUUUGCUCUAUGAAAAUCAUCUCAAAUGUUCCCAUUAAUGAAUUUUGAGAAUGACUAUUAUAUGGUAAAAUUUAGUUUAUGGAGGAUUAUACGAAGGUUUUGGCUAAGGGUCCUUGGGUUGUGUAUGGGAAGUAUCUCAUGAUUUAGUUAUGGGCACUGUCGUUCUCCACCUCAAAACUUCCUUUGAACGAAGUCGUGGAGUGCAAUGUAUAAGAAUAGCUUACUAAGAGCUAUUAGGGAGGUGGGUGAUAUUGAUUAUAAUAGAGAUGAUGGAGUUAGGGGGAGAUUUGCUAGAAUGGGGCUAUGACCUCUCAUCUCCAAAAUUAGAAUUGAUGAUCACUUAUAGGGGAGAUUUGUUUUCAAUGUGGUUGUUAUGGACAUACGCAAGAAGGUUGUCUAACAGUGGAAACCAUGGAAAAAUAAAGAGAUUUAUCUUUGAAUGAAGCUCAUUUUAUUGCUUAGCAAUUUAUCUUUUCAAAAAUAUUCGUAGUAAGGGGAUUUGCACCAAACACUUGUUGGCUAUAAUGGUAUUAUUUCUUAAUUUAUCUCAUAUUUUACACAAUUUUCCAUAUCGAUUCACGUUAUCAUUUUUUGUCUUCGAAGUAUUAUAAAUUUAAAUAAAUUUUGACACGUUAAUGAUUCAUUUUAUAUAAAGUUUAACACGUACAUAUAAUUUUGAUGACACUAGGUAUGCCUUAAAUUAUUUAAUAUUACGUAUUAAAUUAUUUCAUAUGUUUACAUAAAAAAAUAUUUAAUUUAUCCUCUUUCAUAAUAAUUUAAUUUUACAAUAUGUUGGGAAAGGAGGAGGAAAUGUUAAGUAAAGUGAGGGAAAAGAGAUUCCAUUUUUUCAUUUGGACAAGUGAAUUUUAUAAAGAGAUGGAAAGGAAAUGGAAUUGGGAAUUCCUUGCUUUCUUUAGCUUUACUCCAUUUUUUAAUAUCCCAAUUGGGGGAAAAUGCAAACAAUUAAAAUAUCAUUUUUGUCCUUCUAGUAUUUUACAAUUAACUCUAAAUUCUAAAUUUUAAUUUUAAAAUUUAAAUUUUACAUUUACCAUAUAUUAAUCUAAAUAUUAUGUUCAAGAUUUAAUUUAUUUUCUUAAAGCAAAAGAGAGCAUAUUUGCAAGUGGCCCCUAAAAUGGAAAAUUGUCCAUUUAGACUCUUAGCAAUUUUAAAAUUUUAAUUUAGUAAAAGUUAAAUUACACUUUGGCCCCCUAAAAAUGAUAAAAAUUUUAUUUAAUCAUUUAAAAAUUAUAAAAAUAUAGACUAUUAAAAAUUAUAAUUUAAUUUCGACCCUAAUCAUAUAUAUCACCCACCUCCAAGACUUAGAAGUAGUAGUGUUUAACCUCCAAAUCAACAUCCCAUCAUCACAAAUCUUAUGCAUUUUCUCCUAAAAAGGAAUAUUUCCAUCUCAUUUUGUCUAUAUCUUUCAUAAUCAUCAUUUUCUUUAUUCAUAGUAACAAACUCAACCCAUGAGUAAGAAUAUGUAAGAUUAUGAUUUCUCAUCUAUAAUGCACUCUAAUCUAUUUUAAAACUUCCAUUUUAGUGUUGUACCAAAUGACAACAAAAAAAAAAUCAAAAUUCAAUUAUUGUAAACUUACCAAAUAAGUAUAAAAAUGCCAUUUACCAUUAAAAGGUUACCUACUAACUAAGAUAUUAUUUCUUAAAUUGGAUAACUAUAAGUAGUGUUGAAAUUAUAUUAGAAAUUGUUAAAUAUCAAAUAUAAUUAUUUCUUUUGAUAAAAAUAAAUAUUGAUUUUGAAAAGAAUAUUAAUUUUUAUUUUUAAUCUUAUUGAUACACUAUUUUAUAUUAUUUUGAAUAAUUUUGAGUCGAGGUUAAUUAUGGUCAUAGAUAGAAAGUUAAUUCUUUCAAAAUUCUUGAGUGCCUAAUAGUUUUUCUAUCUAAUCAAUCCAACCACUAGUUUAACUUUUAUUAGGAAAAAUAUUUGGUAUAUAUAUUUAGACUUCACAAACAAGGUCAAAGGAUUGAUAAGUGUCUUAUACAAAUAUUUAAUACACAUCAAUUUUUUAAGACAACUUAUGCAGUGGCGGAGCCAAGGGGGGCUGGUAGGGACCUCGCCCCCCCCCCUAAAAUGGAAAAUUUCUCAUUUAGGACCUUUAUAAUUUAUAAAAUUUUAAAUUAGUAAUGGUAAAAUUGUACUUUGGCCUCCCAAAAAUAAUAAAAAAUUAAUUUAACCCUUUAAAAAUUAUAAAGAUAUAGACUAUUAAAAUAGUGAAAUUACAUUUUUACUAUUGUAAAAAUAUAUAAUUUAAUUCCGACAAAAAAAACAAUUCUGUCGACUCUGCGACUGAACUUAUAAAAUAAAAAAUUAUACUACCAAAUAUUCACCCUAAAUUAAAUUCUUUAAUAUUAAAUCUAGAGUUUAAAUAUAAACAACACAAUUACGUUUUCUUAUAAAAAGUAUAUUGUGACUUGCUACAAUAAAAAUAAAAUUAUUAGCAAAUAUUGGGUACGGUUGAAAAACACAUUGUAUUUUUAAAAAAAGAAUACAAAUUUUAUGAUAUUAUUCAAAAAAACAACCUCAAACAUAAAACGUAAAACCAACAUAAAAAAACAACGAUUAAUAAAAAUAGAAAAGCCUUACAAACUAAAUAUAGAAAUAGAAUCUCGAGGCAGUGUCUUUUAACCUAAUUAGACAGAUUGGGUAUUCAAAGUGUAAAAGAAAAGUGAAUAUACUUGAACUCCCAAUAGGUGAAUUUAGUUUAAAUUUUAAUGGCGAUGUUGUUGAGAAAAGCAAUCAUGAACCUAAAACAUGAACCGUAAAAUAGAUAUAAAAAAUAUAAAAAAGUCAUAUCUAUAUUUUAGUUUGACGUAACUUUAUCUUCUUGUUCAUAUUAAUAUUAAGAUUACUAGCUUAUAUAUCGAGUGAAGUAAAAAUAUUCCACAUAAAAUGAAAUUAUUUCGUUUCAGAGUAUAAUAAAAUAAUAAUCAAAAAAUACUUGGCAUUAUAUUAGUCCACAUCAUCUGAUUAACAAAAUUUUAAAGGGACGAAAAUUUCAAAUUUAGUAUAAUACAAGGAUAAAACCUAAAAUUAUACCAAUUUAAUAAAUACUGCAAACCAUGAAUUAAGAAGGUCAUAUGGAUUUAGAUAAUGAUUACUAAUGUAGUGAAUGGUGGAGACAAAAUUUUUUUUUUAAAAGUAUUAAUCUAAGCCACGUGAAGAAGCACUAUAAUAAUAUCCCAAAUAUGAAAACAAAGUUUAGGGUUAUGGAAAAGGACUUUGCUCUUUUUAGAUGGCGAAAGGCCAAUUUUCAUUGAUUUUUGCAAUGCAAGUGGCCAACUUGUCUAUUAAAAAAAUCAAAGAUUUUGUGUACUUUCUACCUAUAAUUACAAUAUUAUUUUAUUAUAUAGGUUAAAUUCUACUAUUAAUUUCUAUAUUUUACUAAAGUUGUGAAUUUAGUCUUUUUUUACUUUUUAAUUUUUAAGAUUUUGAUCAUUACCAAGUAGUAAAUGUUAAAUUCUGCUAUUUUCAAAAUUUGAUGCGACAAACAUAUUUAACUAUUACUGUUUGGCCAAGACUAAAUUUCAAAAUUUGAAAAGUAUAAGGACUAAAAUUGACCGGUUCGAAAAGUACACAGAUUGAAAUUGAUCAAAAUAAAGUAAAAGGACUAAAUUCAUAACUUUUGCAAAGUACAAAGAUUAAUAGUAGAAUUUAACCUUACAUAUAAAAUUAUUUGGUAUAAUGAUGGCAAAGUUUUUUUAUUUUCACAAACAGUGGCAUGUCGAGUAUGAUACAUUAUUACCAUGUUCGGUUCAUUUGACUAGAAUGUAAGAUUUUGGUGCUUGAUUAAAGGAAUAUAAGAUUACCUAAAAGCACAUUUUACUAAUUUGUCUUUGAUAUAGAAUUUUUUUUAACAAAUUUAAUCCCUUCAAUUAUUUUUAGCCUCGGUUUUCAUAAAACUAUGAUAAACUAUGACAAUUCUUGUUUUCAUUACAAUGCAUAUGUUGACACCAUAUUUUGGAUGAAAACGGGGUCAACUUGGAUUUUGAAAAUAAAACGAAAAAUGGGAGUCGCCACCAAUCUUUUUUCAUGAGGUGUGAUCGGGUCACCUCGUAAAAUGGUUGUUUUUAAUAAACGAUUUAGAUUUUAUUAAAACAACGAUUUUUGUCUACGAAAUUCAGAAAAAUGGGUUCGGGAGUCGGUUACGCACGAGGAAGGAUUAGCACCCUCGAUACGCCCAAAAUUGGUACCUAGUUGAUUAAUUUGUGUCUUUGUGUCGAAAGUUAAAAACUCGAAAAGAAUUUUAAAAAUAUGAUCCCUCCUUAUAUCGUGUUAUUUUAAAAAUACUCAAAUAAAUCAAAAUGGAAAAUGCCUCAUUAUCUCGAAGUAACAAGAUACUACAUCCAGUAAGUUAGGACCCGACACCUCGUAUUUUUGAGAGUAAGCUUGCCCUUCAUUUUUUAUUUAAACCUCAUUUAUUUUAAUUUUAAAAGGAUAUUCGAUUACUUAGAAUCAACGAGAAAAAUCGAAGCUCAGUAAGUUAGGGCACGUUUUCUCGAAUUUUCUAAAUACGGAAUAUUGUCUUUACUUUCGAAAAAUCCUCAUAUCGAGAAAACCACGUGUCAUAUCCAAUGCGUUAGGCCACAACAUAUUGAAAUCCCGAUAAUGAGUUUUUAUUUAUGUUUUUUAUUAAAGAGCAUUCUCGAGUAUUUAGAUUCAACAGAAAAUUAGAACCCAGCACGUUAGGGCCCAAUUCUCUCGAAGAUCCCAAGUGUCGAGUAUUACCUUUAUUUCCAAAAUUUUCCUUUUUUACGAAUUUGGGUAAAAAUUGAUGUGACGGAAUAACAAUUACGAUAAUGCGAGUAAAAAUAAUACGAGCAAAAAUAACAAAAGUAAAUAUAUAAAAAAUCAAUUAUAUACAAUAACAAGUAAAUAAACAAAAUAAAAAAAACUGAAACAUUUUAAAAAAAUAAUAAUGGACACAUAAAUAAAUAAACAAACAUAAAGUAAAACAAUAAUAAUAAUAAAGAAAUGAAUAAAAUUAUAAAAAUUUUAAAAAUGUAUGUAUGAAUUUUAAAAUAUUUAAAAAUACGAGAAAAAACUAUGUAGGUAUAUAUAUAAUGAAAAUAUGUAUGUCUAUACGUAUAUAUAUGUGUAUGUAUAAGAAUUAUAAAAUAUGAAAACAUAAUUACGUAUAUAUAAAUAACAUGCGCAUGUGUGUAUAUAUAUUACAUAAAGACAAAAAAGAUGUGAAUAUGUAUAUUAUAAAAAUAAAAUGACGUAAGUAUGUACAUACAUUUAUAAAUAUAUGAAUUAAAAUAUGUAAAUAUAUAAGUAUAUAUAUAUAUGCAUGUAGAAAAUAUGAAAUAUAAAAAAUAUAUAUUUAAAAUAAAUAAAGAAUAUGUACAUAUAUAUAAAAAUUAUAAGAUACAGUAAGAAAUGUAUAUAAGUAUGUAUAUCUAUAAAUUAUAAAAAAAAUAUGUACGUGUAUGUGUAUUAAAAGAACAUGUAUGUAUAUAUAAUGACUUAAAUCAAGUAGUACAAAUAAUAAGAAAAAUAUUAGGUAAAUAAAAUAUACAUAUAUAUAUGUACAUAUAUAUAUAACUUAGAAUAAAUAUUAAGGAACUCCCCUUUUAUUUUUUUAAAAAAAAAUAAAUUAAAUGAAUUAAAGGAUGAAAAUAAAAUCAAACCAAAAUCUGGGGUUCCAAACUGUAAAAUAAAUAAAAAGAUCGUCAGGGACCAAAAUAGGAUGCGUUGGGAAGAAAGAAGGACUGACUGCGCAAUAUCCCCGUCUCUUAUGCGCUUCGUUUUGACAUGGGCCAGAACGAAAUAAGAAACAAAUUACGCAGAUAAAUUAAAAAGGAAAGAAAGUAAGAAAAACGGACUGGAUUAAAAGAACAAAAAAUGAAGAGGGACUAUCUACACAAAUAACCCCAAAGAACCAAACAUGCAGAUUCCCCCCCCAAAAACGACGUCGUUUUGCGUCUAGGGUGGGUUCCAACACACUGCCGUUUCAGCUCUCCACUUAAACCCUCCUUUUAUUUUUUGUUCAUUUAUUCCCCCCUAUUAAGAAAAAUCUACAGAAACCUCUCAAAACCUCCCCAUGCCUUCCGACGGUUGAGUUUCACACCGCCGUUUAUCCGUCCAUCGUACCGCCACUAUACCGGCGGCCAACGAAGCGACAAAGGGGCUUUCAGAGCCUAGCCUUCGGGCGAUUUGAAAAGCCGGGUCUUUGAACACCCACGAGCGCCGAGACUGAGGCUCGUAGCUCCCCCCUUUCAGAUCCGGGCCAGCGAUGGAGAACCACACACCGACGGCGCAGUUGUGAGGUAUCUCCGGUAAGCCCUUUUUCUCUACUUUGUUUUCGUUAAAAAAUAUGUAUAUAUAAAAUAGAGUAAAACAAAAUAAAAUAACAGGUCUAGAGAAGAAAAAACUUAGUUUUCUUUUUAUUUCUAAAGUUUGUUAAAUUGCCCCAGAGCCCCCAUUACAAUGCUUUUGUUCAGCCUAUAUAGCAAACUUUUACCACCCCUAAACUUCUAUUUUUGUCGUUUUAUGCUUUGGAUCCUUGUACUGUUGCGUGUGGCUUCGUUUUGCAGGUGUCAGAGGCGUGGAGGAAUGUCAGACGCGUGGGGCGUGGUGGCCAAGGCUGAGGGGCAUGGUGGCCGACAUGGUGGCGGAUGAGGAGCGUGGCAGACGAGGGGGGCCACGCAUGGAAGCUUGCGACGGCUAGCUUGGGGAAGCAAACUAAGGUUCGCUGAAAAUGGGGUUAAUCUUGGGCUAGGGUUAUGUUUGUUUUGGGUUUAGGGUUAAUUUUGGGUAGUUUGGGCCAUAUGAAAUUUGGGCUGCAAUUUAGACUUUAUUUCAUGUAUUUGGUUUAUGUUUUAUUUUUAUUUCGUUUUUUGUUUUGGCUCUGGGCCCGGGCAAAAUGGGCUCGUACAGCAUAUAUUAAUAAGUGUAUAUAUAUAUAUAUGAUGUUGAAAUAAUUUUAUGAAUCACAUAUAUAUUCGUAAUUAAUAUGCUAAUAAAUAAAUCAUUAGAAUCAAUAUGUAACUGGUAAGAAAAAAAGAUAUUUUUUUAUUUUAAUUAGACUUAAAUUUUAUACGAGA